UUUUUUUUGGUCGAACCAGUGGGGGCACGCUGAGUGCACCCACUGGGUGUAGUCCCCGAGACUACUGUCGAAUGUUUUUGAUUCGGCUGUAGUCUUAGAAACGCCAUCAUUGUCUCUUGGUUACUCGGAAGCAACUUAUCUUGGAUGUCUAUCGACUGAUUUUUUGCAGAAAUCCUGCGAACUUGUGGCUCGCUACACUGAGUUGGAGAACAAACAGAUCCAAUUGAACCUUGCCUUGAAGCUUGCUCAGGAGAACUUGCAGAAGGCGAGGGACGAAGCAAAAGGUAUGGUUGGUGAGAUUUUGUCGACUGUCCUUUCUUUCUGGCCGUCCUCGAUGUUGAUCUCACUUGCUGUUUCAUAGACAAAAUGGAGGAGGCUCUGAAGAAGAAGGAUCAAGACCUUGCCGAAGCGCAGAAGGAGGCCCUGAACAAAACAAAGCUUGCUGAAGAAAAGCUGGCUUCAGUCGGUACUCUUGAAAAGGAAAACUCCAGGCUGAAAACUCCUCUCGACGCGGCUAAUCGAGAGGCCAGCCGUCUGAAGAAUGGCAAUAUAGCUCAGAAUGACAAGGCAAGUGAACUGGCAGGGAAGAGGAACGAUCUGGAGGCUUAUCUCGGUGGACUCGCCAAGAAGCUGUUCGUCAUGCUCGAGGGUAAUUACUCCGGCCCGACUGACUUGCAGUUACCAAAUCUACGUAGAGCCACUGACUUAUCCUUGAAUUGUGUUUACAGAAUUCUGCCAGAACUUCGAAGAGGAGACCAGUCGAGUGGAGACAGACUUGGACCCCAUCAAUUCUCCAGUGAAGGACGAGGCUGCUAUGAACGUGCUCCGACUGGAAUCUCGUGUUGCCGGCGUUGUUGACUAUCUUGCUCGGUUGAAGGUUGCGAUGUCAAGGAUCAACACGUCGCUCUGGCCUAGGACGACGCUUCAAAAUGACCUCGAGUCCCUGAUGACUCGACUGAAUGAAGUCCCAGGUCGAGUGGCGAAAUGGAAGAAAUCUUCUUCUAGAUGUGGCGCUGACGUCGCUCUGUCUCUGGUCCGCGUCCACUGCAAGGAGGCGCGAGAAGAAAAGUUGGCCGCCAUCCAAGUUGCCAAUACCAGGAAGCACAACUUUCAAGACUUCAUGGAGACUUUCAUUGCUGCUGCCACUCGCAUUGCAGACGGGAUCGACUUGGACGAGUUCGUCGCCCCUUCCAGUCCUCCGCAUGAGGAAUAAAAACUUUUAUGCUUCACUUUAAAUUUGCCUCGGAAUGCCAAGUGGAUUUUGUAACCGUUAAACUCUGUCGAGCUGGAGGCUUGAGUACUUUGAUCUGCGGUCUAGAACCUUUGGAUCUUAUCUGAACUUGAUUUAUCGUUGAAUAUCUUCAUGAAUUAUCUGUCGAGUGGAACUUGUUCUUCACUCGAAAUAACUUUGUAUUUGUGGUGCAACUCCGAAGGAGAAGGUAGCAGUCAAUUUGCACCUCGUCGUCCUUGCGGAUUGGGAUGUGUUCCGUACUUAGGCGAGCACUGGGCUGCAGCUAAGCCUCCGAGUGGAAGGUCUGCUCUCCACUCGGUAGGAUUUUAAAAACUUAGGCGACUACUGGACUGUAGCUAAGCCCCCGAGUGGGAGGUCUGCUCUCCACUCGGUAGGAUUUUUUCAAACUUAGGCGAGUACUAGACUGCAGCUAAGCCCCCGAGUGGGAGGUCUGCUAUCCACUCGGUAGGAUUUUUUCAAACUUAGGCGAGUACUGGACUGCAGCUAAGCCCCCGAGUGGGAGGUCUGCUCUCCACUCGGUAGGAUUUUUUCAAACUUAGGCAAGUACUGGACUGCAGCUAAGCCCCCCGAGUGGGAGGUCUGCUCACCACUUGGUAGGAUUUUUAAAUACUUAGGCGAGCACUGGGCUGCAGCUAAGCCUCCGAGUGGGAGGUUUGCUCUCCACUCGGUAGGAUUUUUAAACACUUAGGCGAGCACUGGGCUGCAGCUAAGCCUCCGAGUGGGAGUCUAGCUCACCACUCGGUAGGAUUUUUAAACACUUAAGCGAGCACUGGGCUACAGCUAAGCCUCCGAGUGGGAGUCUGGCUCACCACUCGGUAGGAUUUUUAAACACUUAGGCGAGCACUNNNNNNNNNNAGUGGGAGGUUUGCUCUCCACUCGGUAGGAUUUUUAAACACUUAGGCGAGCACUGGGCUGCAGCUAAGCCUCCGAGUGGGAGUCUGGCUCACCACUCGGUAGGGUUUUUAAACACUUAGGCGAGCACUGGUCUGCAGCUAAGCCUCCGAGUGGGAGGUUUGCUCUCCACUCGGUAGGAUUUUUAAACACUUAGGCGAGCACUGGGCUGCAGCUAAGCCUCCGAGUGGGAGUCUGGCUCACCACUCGGUAGGAUUUUUAAACACUUAAGAGAGCAUUGGGCUGCAGCUAAGCCUCCGAGUGGGAGUCUGGCUCACCACUCGGUAGGGUUUUUAAACACUUAGGCGAGCACUGGGCUGCAGCUAAGCCUCCGAGUGGGAGGUUUGCUCUCCACUCGGUAGGAUUUUUAAACACUUAGGCGAGCACUAGGCUGCAGCUAAGCCUCCGAGUGGGAGGUUUGCUCUCCACUCGGUAGGAUUUUUAAACACUUAGGCGAGCACUGGGCUGCAGCUAAGCCUCCGAGUGGGAGUCUGGCUCACCACUCGGUAGGGUUUUUAAACACUUAGGCGAGCACUGGGCUGCAGCUAAGCCUCCGAGUGGGAGGUUUGCUCUCCACUCGGUAGGAUUUUUAAACACUUAGGCGAGCACUGGGCUGCAGCUAAGCCUCCGAGUGGGAGGUUUGCUCUCCACUCGGUAGGAUUUUUAAACACUUAGGUGAGCACUGGGCUGCAGCUAAGCCUCCGAGUGGGAGUCUGGCUCACCACUCGGUAGGAUUUUUAAACACUUAGGCGAGCACUGGGCUGUAGCUAAGCCUCUGAGUGGGAGUCUGGCUCGCCACUCGGUAGGAUUUUUAAACACUUAGGCGAGCACUGAGCUGCAGCUAAGCCUCCGAGUGGGAGUCUGGCUCGCCACUCCGUAGGAUUUUUUUUACAAACUUAGGCGAAACGGAUUCGCAGCUAAGCCACCCACUGGGGGAUUUCACACGCAAACAAAAGCAACAACAAUUAUAGGAAAAUUUGUAACACUCUUGUCUUUGAUAAAUAGACUACAGAAGUUUUUCUUAUUACAUCUCAUCCGAGUGAGAAUUCAAGUGUGAAAGGGGCGGAGCAGUUCUGCAUUCCAAGCUCGUGGCUCAUCGAUCUGGCGAUUGACAUUGUAAAGGUGAUACGCUCCAUUGUGGAGGACUCUGGUGACGAUGAAGGGACCUUCCCAAGUAGGAGCGAGCUUGUGUGGUUUCUGUUGAUCCACUCGGAGGACCAAAUCUCCUUCUUGGAAGGCUCGACUCUUCACAUUUCUGGCAUGGAAUCAACGCAAGUCUUGCUGAUAAAUGGUCGAUCAGAUCAUACCCAUUUCUCUUUCUUCUUCUAGGAGGUCGACUGCGUCUUGUCGGGCUUGUUCUACUUCAUCUUCGGUAUAAAGCUCGACUCGGGGUGCAUUGUGAAGUAGAUCACUCGGCAGGACUGCUUCCGCUCCGUAAACCAGAAAGAACGGAGUUCUUCCAGUCGACCGAUUCGGGGUCGUCCUCAAUCCCCACAGAACCGAUGGAAGCUCGUCGACCCAAGCGCCUGUUGCGUGCUUGAGAUCACGCAUCAGCCGAGGCUUUAGUCCUUUGAGAAUCAGACCAUUUGCCCUUUCUGCUUGUCCAUUUGACUGGGGGUGGGUGACCGAUGCGUAGUCGACUCGUGUGCCUUGAGAGGCGCAAAAAGCUCUGAACUUGUCUGAAUCAAAGUUUGACCCAUUGUCGGUGAUGAUGCUAUGCGGGACUCCAUAUUUGAAUGUUAACUCUCUGAUGAAACUGGUACCAGUGCAAGCAUCAAGAUUCUUGAUAGGCUUAGCUUCAAUCCAUAUGGUAAACUUGUCGACUGCCACAAGCACAUGUGUGAAACCGCUCCUGCCUGUUCUCAAUGGGCCAACCAUGUCCAGUCCCCAAACAGCGAAGGGCCAGACGAGUGGAAUGGUCUUCAGGGCUGAUGCAGGCUUGUGCGACAUGUUGGAGUAGAACUGGCACCCUUCACACUUGUCGACUAUCUCUUUUGCCAUUUCAUUCGCUCUUGGCCAGUAAAAUCCCGCUCGGUAUGCUUUAGCCACAAUGGUCCGAGAGGACGCAUGAUGACCACAGGUCCCCGAGUGGAUAUCAUCAAGGAUUAUCUGACCUUCUUCUAGUGAUAUACACUUCUGACCGACUCCAGUCGCACUUUCUCUAUACAACUGUCCCUUUAUGACUGUAAAGGCCUUGGAUCGACGGACGAUCUGUCGAGCCUCUUCUUCGUCCUCCUGGAGUUCCUUUCUCAGGAUAUACGCGAUGUACGGUAUCGUCCAGUCAAGGGUGAUUGCCAAAACUUCCAUGAUUAGGUCGACCACUGCCGGAAUUUCAACUUCAGUCAGAUCUGUGGCACUCUUUGGCUGCGGGGCUUCAUCUGUAAAAAGGAUCUUCUUGGACUGAUGGCGAGUGGAUGUGUUCCAAAAACACAUUGCUGGGGAUGGCUUCUCUCUUGGAGCCUAUCUUUGCCAAAUCAUCAGCCGCUUGAUUUUUUAGUCGGGGGAUGUGAUGAAGCUCUAACCCCUCAAAUUUCUUCUCUAACUUUCUCACUGCAUUGCAAUAACCAGUCAUAGCUGGACUUCUGACGUCCCAUUCUUUCAUCACCUGAUUAACCACCAAAUCUGAGUCGCCAUAGACCAUGAGGCGACGGACGCCGGGUGAAAUGGCCAUGCGCAACCCAUACAACAGUGCUUCAUAUUCUGCUUCGUUAUUGGAGGAAUCGAAGUGAAUCUAGAGAACAUAUCUGAGCUUAUCUCCUCGGGGGGAAACCAAUACUACCCCAGCACCGGAACCAUUCAGCAUCUUAGAUCCAUCGAAGAACAUGGUCCAGUGCUCCGAGUGAACUUGAGUCGGAAGUUGCUAUUCGAUCCACUCGGCGACGAAAUCUGCAAUUGCUUGGGACUUGAUAGCUUUCUUUGCCUCAAACUUGAUAUCUAGGAGAAGAAGUUCAAUCGCCCAUUUGGCCACUCGACCAGUUGCAUAUCUAGUGGAGUGUCGCUGACGACUGUAAUGGAAUGAUCGGAGAAGUAAUGUGCAACCUUCUUCGUGGUCAUAUAAAUCCCAUAUACAAGCUUCUGGUAAUGAGGAUAUCUUUGCUUUGAAGGAUUCAAAACUUCAGAAACAUAAUAUACUGGGCGCUGAACUUUGAAGGCCUUUCCUUCUUCUUCCCGCUCGACCGUAAGUAUUGUACUGACAACUUGUCCUGUGGCUGCAAUGUAAAUCAGCAAAGGCUCCUUGCUGAUUGGGGCAGCAAGCACCGGCUGGGUGGAGAGCAGAGCUUUGAGCUCUGUAAACGAUGCAUCAGCUUCUGGAGUCCACUCGAACUUGUCGGACUUCUUCAUCAGUCGGUAAAGAGGCAAUGCCUUUUCAUCGAGGCGAGAGAUGAAUCGACUUAAAGCGGCCAAGCAUCCUGUAAGCUUCUGGACGUCAUGCACAUGCACAGGAUGUUUCAUCCGGAGUAUAGUACCAAUUUUUUCAGGAUUGGUGUCGAUUCCCCGUUCGGAAACGAGAAAACUGAGUAACUUCCCACCUGGAACUCCGAACAUGCACUUUGACGGAUUGAGCUUGAUAUCAUACCUCCUGAGGUUGGCAAAGGUUUCAGCAAGGUCAGUCAGUAGGUCGGAACCCUUCCAUGACUUGACCACAAUAUCAUCCAUGUAUGCCUCCACAUUCCGACUGAUUUGAGUGAGCAAACACUUCUGAAUCAUCCUCAUGAACGUGGCUCCGGCGUUCUUGAGGCCGAACGGCAUGGUGACAUAACAGAAGCACCCGAAUGGAGUGAUGAAAGUUGUUUUGAUCUCGUCGGGCCCGUACAGACGGAUCUGAUGGUACCCGGGAUAGGCGUCUAGGAAAGACAAACGCUCACAUCCCGCAGUCGAGUCGACUAUCUGGUCGAUGCGGGGGAGAGGAAAAUGAUCUUUCGGGCAGGCCCGAUUGAUAUGCUUGAAAUCAAUGCACAUGCGAAGUGACUUGUCCUUCUUGGGGACCAUGACAACAUUGGCGAGCCACUCGGAGUGGUAAAUUUCUCGAAUGAACUCCGCUGCUAAGAGCUGAGCCACCUCCUCGCCAAUGGCCUUCCUCUUCUGGACGGCGUACCGUCGAAGAUGUUCUUUCACAGGUUUAAAUUUUGGGUCGACUCAUAGACGGUGCUCAGCCAGCCCCCUGGGAGCUCCAGGAAUGUCAGCAGGCUUCCAUGCGAAGAUGUCCCAGUUCUCACGGAGGAACUGGAUGAGCGCUUCUUCCUAUUUGGAGUCGACCGUCGUUGAGAUGUGAGUCGGAGCAGCGUUUGGAUCGGUCGGGUGAAUGUGAACUGCCUUCAUUUCACCGGACGACUAAAAAGCUGAUUCUGAAGCAGGCUUCUUAGCUCGUAGCAACUCACUCGGAUCUGCAGUCUUCUGAUACUCUUGCAGCUCGACCACCACCAUCUGAGCAUCAGCAAUCUUUGGGCCUUUCUAAAAACACUCUUCUUCUUUCUUCCGAUUGCCUGUAACAGCGAUCACACCUUUGGGACCAGGCAUCUUCAAUUUGAGAUACACAUAACAUGGUCGAGCCAUGAAGCGUGCAUAAGCUGGCCUGCCCAAAAUAGCGUGAUAAGCACUUUGGAAAUCCACAACUUCGAAUGUCAACUUUUCCUUGCGGUAAUUCUUGGAAUCACCAAAAACCACAUCAAGAGCAAUUUGGCCGAGUGACUCGGCUUUCUUCCCAGGAAUGACUCCAUGGAAACUCAUGUUACUGGUGCUGAGCCUGGACAUCGGAAUGCCCAUCCCUUUCAAUGUUUCUGCAUACAGUAUGUUCAAACCGCUGCCUCCAUCCAUCAGGACUUUGGUCAGUCGAGUGCCUUCGACAAUUGGGUCGACCACCAGAGCUUGCCUCCCAGGGGUGGCAAUGUGCGUAAGGUGAUCAGACUGGUCGAAUGUGAUGGCAGUCUAGGACCACUUCAGAUAAUUGGGUGUUGCCAGAGCAACCAUAUUUACAUCACGGUUAAUAACCUUCAGUCGACUUUUGCUCUCAACAUCAGCAAAAAUCAUCAGGGUGGAAUUGACCUGGGGGUACCCAUCAUCACUAUCUUCCUUGUCCUCAACUUUGUUCGACCCCUUUUCCUUAUCUUUGGACUGCUUGCCCUGAAACUGCUGGAUCAGAAGCCGACACUGUCGAGUGGUAUUCUUUGGGUAAAUGAGUUUACCCUCUUCAUCUUUCUUGGUGUGGAUGUGACACGGUAGAUCCAAAACAUCAUUUCCAUCUUGGUCUUUAACUUUCUUGGGGUUCCAAGGUCCUUUGGGUUUUCCCUUAAAUUUUCCCUGGGUUACGGCCAGGGCCUCCCCAGGAGCGGUUGGCUCGGCUUUCCGCUUCUGUUUCCGACUGGAAUUUCCUCCGGUUUCCUGGGCGACUACUUUAUGCUUGCCACUCCGGAGUCGAUCCUCAUCUUCACCAUUAGCGUAUUUGGUGGCAAUCUCCAUCAUCCGAUUCAGAGACAUCUCUCCGGUUCGACCGAACUUCAGAUUCAAUUCUCUGUACUUAACGCCUUCUUUAAAGGCACAAACUGCUUGAUGAUCUGGUACAUUUUCAACUGUGUGAUGCAAUGUGAUCCACCUCUGGAUGUAAUCCCUCAGAGUUUCAUUCGGUUUCUGCACGCAAGACCGCAAUUCCAUAAGGCCUGCAGGUCGCUUGCAUGUUCCUUCAAAUGUGGUGACAAACACUCGGGAGAGAUCCUCCCAAGUGUAAAUGCUGCUGGGUGCUAACUGAUUCAGCCACGCUCUGGCCGAGCCUUCUAACAUGAGAGGCAGGUGCUUCAUGGCUACCUCAUCGUUCCCACUGCCAAUCUGGACAGCCACUCGGUAAUCUUCGAGCCAAGUAUCGGGCUUGGACUCAUCGGUGAACUUACUAACUCCAGUCGCCAACCUGAAGUUGGGAGGAAUUACAGCGGCUCUGAUGGCUCGACUGAAACACUUCGGCCCUGAAACAUGUACUCUGCUACUGGUAGGCGCAUCUCUGUCGUGACCUUCUCGGUGAGCUCUAUUCCUGUCGACCAAACCUUGAACGAGAAUGGAUCUUGCAUCAAAGCCUGGUUCCCUGGGGUUGACUGGAAUUCUCCGCCCAACACUAUGAGGGCGUCUGUCCACCUGCUGUCGAGGCACAUAUGAUCCACUCCUCGGGGGAGGGGUUGGCACUCGACGUCGAUCAUCAUGAUCGAAUCGGUGAUCAUACUGCUCAUUCCUUCUGUACUGAUCACGCCGAUCUCCACGUCCCUCACGCCUCGGAGGCGAUCUUGGGCUGUGAGCCGACUGGACUGCAUCCGCUGCAACGGAUCGACUGUGGAUCCUGUUCCGCGACUGAGAAACAGCAGAAUUCUGGUCUCCCGCUGCCCGGAGCAACGCUCUGAUUUGCAACAAGCCUCUGCCAGCCUCUGACUGGGAGGGCUGAAUCGACUCUGCUAUACGGGCCGCAGCCGCCAAAUUCUGAAUCAGAGUACAAUAUACUUGCGGGGGCGGAAAGAGUUGACGUCGACUGGAUUCUGGAGCCCGUUGACGCGCUCGCCCGUCGAGUAUUCGCUGGAGAUUCUCCAGUCGAGUGCGCUCGGCCAAGUUAGCCAAGCGUGCGUCCUCCAAGGCUCGGGCCUCGGGGGUUUCUCCAAUGAUAGGAGUGUGGAGUGCAUCCAUAUUCCGGCGGCGAAGUUCCUCCCGCUGCAACGACGUGAGAGGCUCGGGGAGAUACUCCUUGUGAGGACGCGACGGGUCGCCCCCAUCCGCGCCUCCGUCAGCACGGGGGAAACCGGGAGGACUGUGUGGCCCAUCGAUCACCAUAACCUCUGCAGUUGGGUCACUGCUGUCGCAUUCGCAUGCGGUCUCUGUGGAGCCAGUCGACAGGUCGAACAGGCCGUAGAGGGAUUCGUCGGGCUUGAUUGCCGCGACUUGUGGGGUGGCCGACUGGCGGGCCACCGCAUGCCUCACAUACCUCUGAAGCCUCGACUGACCGGAGCGCUUGCGCCGGUGAGAAACAGGGCGGGGAGAUGCCACGGGAGCCGACCGAUACUGGGUCGACGGCUGCCGCAGGAGGACACCACGGACGCAUGCGCGAAAGUGCGUCGCCCCGCGGACGGGGAGCGCGUCGACAUCGAGUGGAGCCUCCUGAAGCCAAGUGGAGUCGUCGGCGAUGAACGUGAGCGCGCCGAGACGGAUCUCGCGGCCCUCCACCAAAGCUCCGCUCGAAACCAUGAUCAAGGAGAUCGGAAAAAAUCACAACUUCUCAAACUAGGCGCUAAGACUCCUAGCCCCAUGGUGGGCGCCAACUGUCGUGGUUCUAACUCUGACAGUGAUGUAGGGGGGUAUGUAUGGAGAGGCUAGAUCUUAGCUAUGGAUGAGUUGUAAGCACACGAGGAUUACGAGUUCAGGCCCUUCUCGGAGGAAGUAACAGCCCUACGUCUCGGUGCCCGGAGGCGGUCGACUGAAAUAUGUGUGUAUGAAUAACAGGGGUGCCAACCCUUGAUACUGAGGAGGGGGGUGGCUUAUAUAGAGUUUGCCAGGCCCCUCCAGCCCUCAGUAAUGCAAGGUUUAAAGUACAUUAAGACUGGGGGUUACUGGUAACGCCCCUAAUAAAGUGCUAUGAUGACCAUAAAAGCUACUUAAUGACCGACCGUUUGCGUGCAGGGUGACUUUAGAUCUCCUGGCAGUCGAGUGGUUGGAAUUUGGUCGAGUGAUUGCUUCGUGGUCGAGUGUCUUGAAUCUGUCGAGGGGGAUACCUCCAAGUCGAUUGAAAGGUGACUUCUUCUAGGGAUGUCCUUGGGUAGGGUACUUAGGACAGGUCCAUGCCCCUAUCCUAGGUACAUAGCUUAAUCACCCGCCGCCGCCCGCACCCAGCUCGCCCGCGCGCUGCCCAUCCGCCUUCGCCGGCUCCGCCCCGCCGCCGCAUUGUUCGCUGUCGUCCGCCUCGCCGGCGCCGCGCGCCACCGACGCCCUGCGCCGCCACCGCGCCCGGCGCAGCCUCCUCUGCCUCCCCGCGCCGCCAAGGCCAGAUCCGGUGCCUCCUCACCGGCGCCUCUCCUCCUCCCGCUCUGGCAAGCCCCGGCCGGCCUCCUCCUUGAUGCCGGCAUCUUCUCCAGCGAGCUCCGGUGACGAACCUCGUACAACGCGCCCGAUCUGGAUCCGGUGCUACAGUGGAACCCUAGGGUUGACCUCGUUUCCUGCCUAAGUUUGCAUUAUUUCUAGCAUACUUCAUUGCAUCAUAACUUUGCAUCUGUGGCUCCGUUUUGGGCGUGUAGCAUAUCCAAUUGUUCGUCUCGAUGUGCACUUCAUUUCAUUCCAUUGCACCAUGUUCAUUUGAGUUCAUCUUGAUGCCCUAAAUGCUGUUGCGAGAGUGCUAUGUAAUGUUUUCAGAUUCUUAACAGAUUAUGGACAUUUGUCAUUUUUCCAUGUUAAAUGUGUGCCUCCUAUGAUCUUGAGCCCUACAUGUGUUUUGUAGUAUGCCAUUCAUCUUUACAGGGGUGUAUGCCAUGUAUUUUUGUGAUCAUUGUGGUGACUAGCACAAGCAUGCAAAGUAGCUCUCGUGAUGUUGCUGAUUUCAGGGACUUAGAAUUCUUCUAAGUCUUUUCCCUGAUAAUAUUUUUAUGCCAUGUAUUCUUGUUGCUACAGAGUGAUCCAUGCCUCUUUUGAGCAUGUUCAGUAAGGAUGAUUUUGAUUUAUUGUUGUGCUCUAUCCAUCCAUGUCUUUGUUUGCAAUUAUGGAGCACACUAGCAUGACUCAAUCUUGCUCUACUUUUGCUAUAAAAUGUUCCUGGCAGAUUGUUUACAUGUUAAGCAAUUUUGCCGAGGUUGUUAUAGUUUAUCCAUGCAUGCUAUGAGAGUGUUCUUGCCAUGGUUAGCUUAUUUAUCAUUUCUACUUGCUGGGUGUAUGCUUAAUUUGUCAUGCAAUGCCUUAUGGUGAGUGCAUCGAGCUCGCAAACAUGCUUAUGUAAAUCUGUUUUUGCCAUGUUCCAGUUUUCUGCUAAGUCUGAAUCUGUUAACGAAACUUGCAAUGUUCACAUGGUUGCCAUUGUAUUUUCUGAUCCCUUUUGGCUUAUGGUCAGUAAGGGACUUUUGUUAUAUGCUUUGUGUAGUUUCAUGCCAUGCCUUGCUUUGCCAUGAUAUGUUCCUGUAGCAUGUUGUUAUCUUGCUCUAAACAUUGCUUCCUGAUGUUAAAUUCCUGACAUGUUGUUGAUUUCACUAAGUCUGUGAACCUGAUAUCUUUUGCCCUUUUGACAUGCUUGUUUGAACCUGCUAUUGUGUCAUUUAGCCAUAGCUCAGUGUUCAUAUUUUGUCAAGCAUCUUGAGUGGAUCACUGCCAUGUGCUUUGUUGCUAUGUUAGAGUGCAGUAGCUUAUUGUUCUUGAUGCAUUUAGAUGGCCUCGUGCUGUUAAUCGCAGCUUUGUGCCAUUAUUUGUUUUGCUUGUCAUUUGCAAACCGUGCAUCCAAUUCCAGUGAUCUUUAUAUCGAUUUCGACCGAAAUCAACUCAUCUUUCCAGCGGCACUCUUGGUUUUCCAAGUUGAGUCCUGGUUCAAUCUUUUCCUUCCGAAGCACGCAUAUGCAUUGCAUAUCACAUCCCGCAUAUCAUGCCAUGUUUUGCAUCAUGUUGCUUGCGCAUUGCACCAUGGUUGAUUGUGUCUCCCUUUGCUUGUGUUCUUGCUUUGGGUAGAGCCGGGAGACGAGUACAUGAUCGAGGAACCCAUUGAGAACGCUUACGAGGAUCAAGCUUACGUCAACUCGGAGAACUUUGCAGGCAAGAUGACCAUACCCUCGAAAUCACUUCUAUCUUUGCUUGCUAGUUGCUCGCUCUAUUGCUAUGCCUAUGCUAUGAUACCUACCACAUGCUUUAUCAUGCCUCCCAUAUUGCCAUGUCAAACUUCUAAUCCACUUUGUCCUAGCAAACCAUUGUUUGGCUAUGUUACCGCUUUGCUCAGCCCCUCUUAUAGUGUUGCUAGUUGUAGGUGAAGAUUGGAGUUUGUUCCUUGUUGGAACAUGUUUAUUGUUGGGAUAUCAUUAUUAUAUCUUGUUUACUUUAAUGCACCUAUAUACUUGGUAAAGGUUGGAAGGCUCGGCCAUAUGCCUGGUGUUUUGUUCCACUCUUGCCGCCCUAGUUUCUGUCAUACCAGUGUUAUGUUCCUUGAUUUUGCGUUCCUUACAUGGUUGGGUUAUAAUGGGAACCCCUUGACAGUUCGCCUUGAAUAAAACUCCUCCAGCAAGGCCCAACCUUGNNNNNNNNNNNNNNNNNNNNNNNNNNNNNNNNNNNNNNNNNNNNNNNNNNNNNNNNNNNNNNNNNNNNNNNNNNNNNNNNNNNNNNNNNNNNNNNNNNNNNNNNNNNNNNNNNNNNNNNNNNNNNNNNNNNNNNNNNNNNNNNNNNNNNNNNNNNNNNNNNNNNNNNNNNNNNNNNNNNNNNNNNNNNNNNNNNNNNNNNNNNNNNNNNNNNNNNNNNNNNNNNNNNNNNNNNNNNNNNNNGCGGGGGGGCAGCGCUUCUCUAAGUGUUGGUCCAACCUGAGCAAUGUCCGGCGCCCCCUGGGCAACCAGGGUCUAUGCCAACCCGACGUCUGGCUCAUCCGGUGUGCCCUCAGAACGAGAUAUGUGCAGCUCCUAUCAGGAUUUAUCGGCACAUUCGGGUGGCUUUGCUGGUUUAGUUUUACCAUUGUCAAGAUGUCUUGUAACCGGGAUUCCGAGUCUGAUCGGGCCGUCCUGGGAGAAGGAAUAUCCUUCGUUGACCAUGAGAGCUUGUGAUGGGCUAAGUUGGGACACCCCUGCCGGGAUUUGAACUUUCGAAAGCCGUGCCCACGGUUAUGGGCAGAUGGGAAUUUGUUAAUGUCCGGUUGUAGAAAACCUGAAACUAAACUUAAUUAAAAUCUAUCAACAGCAUGUGUGGCCGUGAUGGUCUCUUUUCGGCGGAGUCCGGGAAGAGAACAUGGUCUCGAGUUAUGCUUGAACGUAAGUAGUCUUGGAUCACUUCUUGAUCAUAGUUUCUCGACCGUGCCUUGCCUUCUCUUCUCGCUCUCUUUUGUGUAUGUUAGCCACCAUAUGUGCUAGUGCUUGCUGCAGCUCCACCUCAUACCUUUUCCCUACGUAUAAGCUUAAAUAGUCUUGAUCGUGAGAGUGUGAGAUUGAUGAGUCCCUGUGACUCACAGAUUACUUCCAAAACCAGAUGCAGGGACCGAUGAUACCGUUCCAGGAGAUGCGACUGAGCUCAAGUGGGAGUUCGAUGAGGACUCAGGACGAUACUAUAUUUCCUUUCCAGACGAUCAGUAGUGGAGCCCGGUUGGGGCGAUCGGGGACAUUAUGCAUUUGGGGUUGUCUUUAUUUUGGUUCCAUAGUCAGACCUUGAUUGUAUCUGGAUGAUUGUAAUGCUAUAUUUAUGUUACUGUGUGAAGUGGCGAUUUUAAGCCAACUAUGUACCUCUUUUCUUAUUCAGUACAUGGGAUGUGUAAAGAUUACCCCUCUUGCGACAGUGCCUACAAUGCGGUUAUGCCUCUAAGUCGUGCUCCGACACGUGGGAGAUAUAGCCGCAUCAUGGGUGUUAUAGUAGCACACUGUACCCACACCAUGGAACCCAUGGCCUCGCACUCCCAUUCGAGUGGACCAACGGCAUUCCGACAAAACCCUUCCAUAGCCAUGGCACUCUCCCGGCCACUCCGACCCACUCCCCAAUGGGCUGGUCCUGGGUGGCCCCGUGUCUACCAAAGACACCCCGACCACCAUCGUGGUCAAAACAAUCCCACUCGGGGACUCGGUACCAUAAUCGCAUCAACGAGCACACAAGAUUAUGCCUGCUUACCAGGCCAGGGCAAGCACGGCAUAACCUUCCCUAGUUGGAGGCACCGACCAGAGGCCAUGUCAAUGGACCGAAUCAAGGCCUUCCUAAAAAGGCAAAUGUGGUUGCACUGGGAAAGAAACUCGGUUCCGCGGCACCAUGACCCAGUCAACGGUAUAUUAAAGUUGAGUUAUAUUCAGGUUCAGCUUCAAAAUGAAAAUGACCGGUGUCAUAGCAUGCCAUGAAAUGCAAAACUACACAUGCAUCACAUAAUAAUAAAAAUGACCGAGGUCAUCCAUAUACACACCAAGCAUAAACAUCAACAACUCAUAUCACUCUACUGCUCAAAAUGACUCACAACUUAACCAAAAUAUUUUGCAACAAGUUUUAUUAAUUUCUCACGCAAGAAAGUAACUCCGAUAAAUUUCUCAUAUGCUUGACAAAAGAUUUCACUAUCAACAACUCUUAUCAACUAAGUUGGGUUCAAGCAUUUUGUAAGACAAGUAAAAUGAUUAAACAAGUAUUUAACAGGAUAUUUUCUAGCAAAUUUUUAUCAAUUUAUGUAGGCAAGAACAAAGCUUUAAAUAAUUACUAACAAGCAUAACAAAAUCAUUUCUAACAUCACCACAAAUAAACCUUAACUUGCUUUACCCACUAAACUAGUUUCAAUCAUUCUGUAAAUCAAGCAUAAGAACUAACCAAUAUUUAACAGAAUACCAAUAACACAAUAUUUAAUUAAAUGCAUGGAUUAACCAUUUCAUUCAAGUAAGAAAAUCACAAAUAUUGAAAUGACACCAUGAAAAUGUUGUUGUGGCUUGCCUUAGUGCAGAUGAGGUUCACAAGCCUUCCGGUGAUCCUCAAGACAAGCCUCACCCUCUGAAAAUUAAUUUAAACACAAAAAGCAAAUAUCAAGAACACUUCUGAAAAUCACCAGAAAUUCUAAACAGCUCAGAAAAAUCUCAUCUUUGGUGAGCUGCUAGAUUUCUUUUCAAAGAACACAAUGCAAAAAGAAUCAAUUCAUUUGGACUUAUGGUUGAAGAGUUAUAAUUGUUUGAAGUUCUCUGGAAUAUAAAUGAUUUUGAAUUUAAAUAAACAGCUGAGGGGGGUGACAUCGAAGGCGUAAAACCUCAGGGCGCCACCACUCGUACCGCUUCGCGCACGUACAGAGUGGCUGACUAGCGGGCCCCGCUAGUCAGGUGGGGGAAGGGGGAGAAAGAAACAGAGAAGGUCGCGGCUUCGCCGGAGCUCUCGCCGGCGACGAGGGCUUCUUGGCCCAAAUGAGAGGAAGGUAUUUAGAGAGGGGACAAUGGCGCACCUGCCCGUACCCGUAGCGUGGCUAGGGGUGGUCGGAUGGCGUCGGAAACAAGCUCGCAAGCGAAGGCAGAACGCGGAGAUUGCCGGAGUUGAGGAAGACGGCGAACGAGGGCCACUCCAGGGGCUCCAAGCGGGCGAGACGGCCUCACCGGAGAGAGGCGGAAGCCCUGGAGGGGUUGCCCUGGCCUGGGAGAGGCUAGAGAUUUCGCGACGACCAGAGGGGAUCGCCGGCGAGCUCGAGCUCGGGGACGGCGGCCCGAGGCCUGCCCGGCUGGGCUACGGCUUCCUACGCAGUCAUGGAGUGUGUGGGAGUGCUGGAUGGUGCUCAAGGAGGCUGGGGUGGCCCUAUUUAUAGGUGAGCGGCGAGGGGGCUUCGGGCUCCGCUGGUGGACACCUGUCCCCGAUGCCCGGUGACGAGCGGCGUCAGUGAGAGGGGGAGAAGGUGACAGAGGUCACGCGGCAACUGUGGGUGAACGAAGACGAGCACAUGAUCGAGAGGAUGGCGACGAGCACAGUGCGCUCCACACUGUGGGGCUGGCCGGACCUUGCCCGUGCUUGCUGCGGUGAGCUCUGGCAUCAGCGAGCGCCAGAGGGAGGUUAAGGGCUUAGAUAUGAAGAUGGUGGCGCAGUUUGGCGUGCUCGGGCAGGCAAGGGAAGCGAGCACGCGCGAACAGAGUGCUCGGCAACGCUCAGAGCGCGUCGACACGCAUGCCAACACCCCUGGACGAACGUGGUCACCGCGUGAACUAUGACAUCAGGCCGACCUAAGCACAAACUUGAUGUCUGGCAUGAUGCUCGUGGUAGUUUUGAGUGUUACCAUGAAUUGGUUUGGAUCCAGGUGCAGUAGAGAGGUUUUUACAAGUCAGGUAAGUUUCUGAGCAGUAACUUUGAACAGUUGCUGUGGUCAAACGGCUGGGAUAUUGAGGCUGUUCUUUGGAGGCUAGUUAUAAGUUACUAAGGUAAAGAUGCACAAGAAAGUUCAGGUCAAAUGGAGCAAGUAAAAUGGUAGUUGAUGUAGAAACCACCAUUUCUGUCCAGAACAGAAAAUAUUUUAUAUAGCAAAAAUAUUCCAAAAAGUGAUGAAAUAUUUUUGCUCAGGAAGGUGCCCUAGGGUUCACAGAAUAUUUGUGAAUUAUCUCAGAUUUUUAUGAGCCAUAAAAAUUAGGGUUGCUUUGAAGCAAACAGAUCUGGCUAGAGUUUCUGAGAGAAAAUGAAUAUUUUUCAUUUAAGAAAAAUAUUCCAAAGAUUAUUUUGGGGUGGAUCAGAAGUGAAAUGAUGAUUUAGGAGGGAAGUGCAGCACUUGGGUGAAAGCCAAGGAUGCCCAAGGGUGUAAGUCCUUAUGAAAAGAUUCAAGAACUCCAAGUUUCAGAAAAUUUUCAAAUGAAAAUCAAGCAAAUUAGAGAGGGCAAAACCAGGCUGUCACAAGAUGGAGAUCAAAGGCACAAGAUGAUGAUGGACAUAUCAUAUCACUUAUAUUGAUUGCAUGUGAUGUUUAUCCUUUAUGCAUCUUAUUUUGCUUAGUACGUCGAUAGCAUUAUAAGAUGAUCUCUCACUAAAUUUCAAGGUAUAAGUGUUCUCCCUGAGUAUGCAUCGUUGCUACAGUUCAUCGUGCCGAAACAUGCUACCUCUUGAGCACUGUGUUGGUUUUCCCUUGAAGAGGAAAGGGUGAUGCAGCAAAGUAGUGUAAGUAUUUCCCUUAGUUUUUGAGAACCAAGGUAUCAAUCCAGUAGGAGACUACAUGCAAGUCCCUCGUACCUACACAAACAAAUAAGAACCUCGCAACCAAUGCGAUAAAGGGGUUGUCAAUCCCUUCACGGUCACUUACGAGAGUGAGAUCUGAUAGAGAUAAUAAUAACAAGAUAAAUAUUUUUGGUAUUUUUAUGAUAUAGAUAGUAAAGAUUGCAAAAUAAAAUAGAUUGAAAACUUCUAUGAUAAAAGAUAUACCCGGGGGCCAUAGGUUUCACUAGUGGCUUCUCUCAAGAUAGCAUAAGUAUUACGGUGGGUGAACAAAUUACUGUCGAGAAAUUGAUAGAAAAGUGCAUAAUUAUGGGAAUAUCUAGGCAUGAUCGUGUAUAUAGGCAUCACGUCCGCGACAAGUAGACCGAAACGAUUCUGCAUCUACUACUAUUACUCCACACAUCGACCGCUAUCCAGCAUGCAUCUAGAGUAUUAAGUUCAUAAGAACAGAGUAAUGCAUUAGGCAAGAUGACAUGAUGUAGAGGGAUAAACUCAAGCAAUACGAUAUAAACCCCAUCUUUUUAUCCUCGAUGGCAACAAUACAAUACGUGCCUUGUUGCCCCUGCUGUCACUGGGAAAGGACACCGCGAGAUUGAACCCAAAGCUAAGCACUUCUCCCAUUGCAAGAAAGAUCAAUCUAGUAGGCCAAACCAAACUGAUAAUUCGAAGAGACUUGCAAAGAUAACCAAUCAUACAUAAAAGAUUUCAGAGAAGAAUCAAAUAUUGUUCAUCGAUAAACUUGAUCAUAAACCCACAAUUCAUCGGAUCUCGACAAACACACCGCAAAAAGAGUUACAUCAAAUAGAUCUCCAAGAAGAUCAAUGAGAACAUUGUAUUGAGAUCCAAAGAGAGAGAAGAAGCCAUCUAGCUAAUAACUUUGGACCCGAAGGUCUGUGGUAAACUACUCACACAUCAUCGGAGAGGCUAUGGUGUUGAUGUAGAAGCCCUCUGUCGGUGUCAAAACCGGCGGAUCUCGGGUAGGGGGUCCCGAACUGUGCGUCUAGGCCGGAUGGUAACAGGAGGCAGGGAACACUUUGUUUUACCCAGGUUCGGGCCCCCCUACCCGAGAUCCGCCGGUUUUGACACCGACAUUGGUGCUUUCAUUGAGAGUUCCUCUGUGUCGUCGCCUUUAGGCCCGAUGGAUCCUUUGAUCAUCAACAACGAUACGGUCCAGGGUAAGACUUUUCUCCCCGGACAGAUCUUCGUCUUUGGCAGCUUCGCUAUGCGGGCCAAUUCGCUCGGCCUCCUGGAGCAGAUCGAAAGCUAUGCCCCUGGCCAUCAAGUCAGGUUUGGAAGCUUAAACUACACGACUGACAUCCGCGGAGACUUGAUCUUCGACAGAUUCGAGCCACAGCCAAGUGUGCCGCACUGUCUCGAUGGGCAUGAUAUAGCUCUGCCGCCGAACAGCGCCUUGGACGCCGCACACGCACCGGUUCCGACCCUUAAUUCGGAGCCUAUUGCGCCAACCGAGGAUGAACGGUUGGACGUCACCUCAGGGGCUGCGAUCUCAGAGGCGAUCAAGCCGAACUCCAGCCCCGCACUCCGCAUGGCCCGUGACUCCGAGGAGCCGGAUUCCUCUCCGAACUCUGAGCCCCCCGUGCCCCUGCUGAUCGAAUCCGAUUGGGCGCCAAUCAUGGAGUUCACCGCCACAGACAUCUUUCAGCACUCGCCCUUCGGCGACAUCCUGAAUUCUCUCAAGUCUCUCUCUUUAUCAGGAGAGUCCUGGCCAGACUACGGUCAGCGAGGGUGGAAUACGGACGAUGAGGAAAUUCAAAGCCCACCCACCACCCACUUUGUAGCCACUGUCGACGAUCUAACCGACAUGCUUGACUUCAGCUCCGAAGACAUUGACGGCAUGGACGACGAUGUAGGAGACGAACAAGAACCAGCACCUGUAGGGCGCUGGAAGGCCACCUCGUCAUAUGACAUAUAUACUGUGGAUACUCCAAAAGAUGGAGAUGGCGAUGGAACAGUGGGGGAUGACGCCCCCAAGAAACAGCCAAAGCGCCGGCGUCAGCGGCGCCGCUCUAAAACCCGCCAAAGCAAAAAUGGUGAUUCCGGCACGGGAGAUAAUACUACCCCGGAUAGCGCCGAAGAACACCCACCUCAGCAAAAUUCGGCACAAGAAGAUGGAGAAACCAGCCCUCAUGAGAGAGUGGCAGACCAAGAGGUCGAGGAUGAUAACUAUACGCCUCCCUCCGAAGACGAGGCAAGCCUCGAUGACGAUGAAUUCGUCGUACCAUCAGACCCCGCCGAACAAGAGCGUUUUAAACGCAGGCUUUUAGCCACUGCAAGCAGCCUCAAGAAAAAGCGGCAACAGCUUAGAGCCGCCCAAGAUUUGCUAGCUGACUGAUGGACUAAAGACCUUGUGACCGAAGAGUAUGAACUCGAACGCCCCUCCAAGAGUUACCCGAAGCGCAGGCCGCUACCCCGAUCAGAGGAGGAAGCACCUACAUCACCAGCGCAUGACAUGGCAGACCGGCCACCUCGCGGCCGCGACAAAGAGGCCUCUCGGCCCUCCACCCAAGCCAUGCCCCGACGCCGCUCAACUAAGGCAUGGGAAAUGCGCCCGACCUGCGAGACAUACUAGAGGAUAAGGCAAGACAAACAAGAUCGAUCUACGGAUCACGCAGGCGCCCUACGGCAUAUCACAAUAAUCCUCACUCCAGAUACAACAAAUUCGGCCGGGCCGAACACAACAGACAUAGCUCUUCCGAGCUGCGUCGUGAUAUAGCCCAGUACAGAGGCGUCGCACACCCGCUAUGCUUCACGAAUGAGGUAAUGGAUCAUAAAAUCCCAGAGGGUUUCAAACCCGUAAACAUCGAAUCAUACGAUGGCACAACAGACCCGACGGUAUGGAUCGAGGAUUAUCUCCUUCACAUCCACAUGGCACGCGGCGAUGAUCUACACGCCAUCAAAUACCUCCCACUCAAACUUAAAGGACCAGCCCGGCAUUGGCUUAACAGCUUGCCAGCAGACUCAAUCGGUUCUUGGGAGGACCUGGAAGCCGCAUUCCUCGACAACUUCCAGGGCACUUACGUGCGACCGCCGGAUGCCGACGACUUAAGCCACAUAAUUCAGCACCCAGAAGAAUCGGCCAGACAAUUCUGGACACGGUUCCUAACAAAGAAAAACCAGAUAGUCGAAUGUCCGGACGCAGAGGCCCUAGCAGCCUUCAAGCAUAACAUCCGCGACGAGUGGCUUGCCCGGCACCUGGGACAGGAAAAGCCGAAAUCCAUGGCAGCCCUCACGACACUCAUGACCCACUUUUGCGCAGGAGAAGACAGCUGGCUAGCUCGCAGUAACAACUUAUCAAAGAACCCUGGUAAUUCGGAUACCAAGGACAAAAGUGGCAGGACACGUCGGAAUAAGCAAAAAUGCCGCGUUAACAGCGACAACAAUGAAGACACGGCAGUCAAUGCCGGAUUCAAAGGCUAUAAAUCCGGUCAGCGGAAAAAGCCAUUCAAAAAGAAUACUCAGGGCCCGUCCAGUUUGGACCGAAUACUCGAUCGCUUAUGCCAGAUACAUGGCACCCCCGAAAGGCCAGCCAAUCACACCAACAGGGAUUGUUGGGUGUUCAAGCAGGCAGGCAAGUUAAGGGCCGAAAACAGAGACAAGGGGCUGCACAGCGACGAUGAGGAGCCCAAGCCGCCGAACAACAAUGGACAGAAGGGCUUUCCCCCACAAGUGCGGACGGUGAACAUGAUAUACGCAACCCACAUUCCCAAGCGGGAGCGGAAGCGUGCACUACGGGACGUAUACGCGAUAGAGCCAGUCACCCCAAAGUUCAACCCAUGGUCCUCCUGCCCGAUCACUUUUGAUCGAAGGGACCAUCCCACUAGCAUCCGUCAUGGCGGCUUCGCCGCAUUGGUUCUCGACCCAAUCAUCGACGGAUUUCACCUCACAAGAGUCCUCAUGGACGGCGACAGUAGCCUGAACCUGCUUUAUCAGGAUACAGUGCGGAAAAUGGGCAUAGAUCCCUCAAGGAUUAAGCCCACAAGAACGACCUUUAAAGGCGUCAUACCAGGUGUAGAAGCCAACUGUACAGGCUCAGUAACACUUGACGUGGUCUUCGGAUCCCCGGACAAUUUCCGAAGCGAAGAGUUCAUCUUCGAUAUAGUCCCGUUUCGCAGCGGCUAUCACUCCCUGCUCGAACGAACCGCAUUCGCAAAGUUCAAUGCGGUGCCGCACUACACAUAUCUCAAGCUCAAGAUGCCCGGCCCUCGAGGAGUAAUUACGGUCAACGGAAACACUGAACGCUCCCUCCGUACGGAGGAGCAUACGGCGGCUCUCGCAGCGGAGGUACAAAGUAGCCUUCUCAGGCAAUUCUCCAGCCCGGCCAUUAAAAAGCCAGACACUGCCAAGCGCGCCCAGAGUAAUCCACAGCAGGACCGCCUGACACGCUCUGAGCAAGCAUAGCAAUGCGGCCCCAACCCCAGCUUUCGCAACAUAGCAAAACCAGUACCUCGCGUACAUAACUACGCCCUUGAAAUACCAUGGGCACAGGGGAAGGGGCACAAUAACGGCACACCCAAAAUACGGCUUAAAACAUACUAGGGGCUGCCGGAUUCUUUUUUUUAAUUUUUCUUACUUUCAGGACUCCAUACUUCGGACGACCUGUUCGGCAAUUCGACUGCCGCACAAACGAUGCAAGAUCCAGGGAGGCAGACAAGCCAUGCCGCAUUAUGGAACUCCCAGGUGGUCUCUAUUACGAGCGGUAUACCUGUUUUUAAUACAAUUUCGCGGCCUGCCCCUGGUCAGGACAUACUGAAUAGUCCAAUAUCUUUUGCUUACCGCACUAUUUGUAUCGUUCGGCUUUGGUAAAUAGCCUCUCUAUAAACAAUGCUUAGCUUUUUGUCUAUUUUUUGCAUUACUCUCUUUUAUAUAGGUUCAUUAAUGACAUGUUGCACCCGUACACUGUGGUACGGCAAGUACGCCAGGGGCUUCAGUACCCUUUAAUAUGGUGUGAGAAGUCCGUACACUUUCACAAGUGCGGCACCCCGAACUUAUAGCACUAUAUGCAUCGACUCCGAAUCAUGAUUUGGGUCAAUAGUUGGGUUUGCCCGGCUCCUAUGUUUUGGUGCCUUACGUUCCGCUAUAUCGGCUAAGGUAGCACUAGGAGAACCACUGCGAUUGUGCCCCGGUUGAGCUGGGUUAAGCACCUCAGUGGAGAAAGCUAAAACUGGCUGUCAUGAUGAGGCGAGAGACCGGUCGCUGUUCGAGAGGUUUUUUCGAGUCCCUAAAGGCUUAUGCCGCUUCGAGCGAGAAGCUGGAUAACCCCGGCCAAGGCGUGGAUAGCGCCCCGAACUCGGUCUUCUAAACUAGGGGCUUCGCCGAAAUUUAAAAUUAUAAAGUUCUAUGGCUAAGUGAGAGUGUUCAAGCAUUAUAGUCCGAUUGCCUGGUUCGUUGUGCUGAGCGCCUCCCUCGAAGGACCCAACUAUGGGAAAAAGAGCGCUCAGGUUUAUCCCGAACACCCCAGCACUAGUGGCAUGGGGGCAGAAGUUGACGACUGGCCAUCUCUCAAUUUUUGAUAAACGGCCGCACAGAAAAUAAUAUUUUAAAUUCAACAAGCAUUGCUUAGCGCCUAUGAACAAGUUUUCAGCGCACAGGAUAAACACGAGCGAGUUCAUUCAAAAAUUACAUCCUUGGUACAUUCAUCCACCACAAGGCGGGCACCCGCAAGAACAUCCUUAUAGUAGUUCUCGAGCUUGCGAUGCUCCUUCCCCGGCGGCGGCCCGUCCCUCACAAGCUUCUCACUGUCCAGCUUACCCCAGUGCACCUUUGCACGGGCAAGGGCCCGAUGGGCACCUUCGAUGCAGACGGAGCGCUUGAUGACCUCGAGCCUUGGACAGGCCUCCACCAACCACCGCACCAGCCCGAAGUAGCUCCCAGGCAGGGCCUCGCCGGGCCACAGCCGAACUAUGAAGCCCUUCAUGGCCUGUUCGGCCGCCUUGUGGAGCUCGACCAGCUGUUUCAGCUGGUCGCUCAAGGGCACAGGGUAUCCGGCCUCAGCAUACUGAGACCAGAACACCUUCUCCGUCGAGCUGCCCUCUUCAGCUCGGUAGAAUGUGGCGGCGUCGGAUACGCUGCGGGGAAGAUCUGCGAAUGCCCCUGGAGAGCUCCGGAUUCGGGUAAGUAACAAGUAGUUUACUUUUAUAUUUUUGCUUUGCAUAAAGAAUGCCUUACCCGCCGCUAUCUUAUUCAUAUCCUCCAACUCUUGGAGGGCCUUUUGGGCUUCGGCCUUGGCAAACUUGGCAGUCUCAAGGGCCGCCGCGAGCUAGGACGCUUGGGUCUUUGACUCAAGCUCCAAACUCUCAUGUUUCUUCAUGAGAGCCUGAAGCUCUUGCUGCACCUCGCCGACCUGAGCCCCAAGUUUCUCUCGCUCGGUGCGUUCCGCGGCCGUUUUCUUUUCGGCCUCAGAAAGCGCCUGCUUGAAGGUCGCCACCUCAGUCGUGGCCCCUAUAAUAAGCAAGUACAAUCCUGUUAGUUUUUGCAAUCACGCCUCUCUAUAGGCACCUUUUUCUGUAAGGUAUUUCUUACCUUCUUUCUCCUUGAGCUGCCGCUUGGCAAGGCCGAGCUCUUGCUCAGUCCGCCCGAGGUCCUGUUUCAGGACACCCACCUCCGCAGUCAGUGCGGCGGUGGAUAGCAGCGAAGCCUGCAUACGCAUAUUGACUCUUUGUUGUUAGACUCCUUUGAAAUUUAAUAGAUCCUCUAUUCGGCUUUUCUUUCCGAACGCCAAACAGAGCAUCAGGGGCUACUGUCUAUGCGGUAAUAUUUUUACAUAUUUUUACUUACCUCGAAGCCUGUUAGGAGGCUAGCGCAAGCUUCACUCAGUCCGCUCUUGGCGGACUGAACCUUCUGGAUCACCGUACUCAUAAUAGUACGGUGCUCCUCGCCGAUGGAGGCGCCUUCAAGCACCUCCAGCAGAUUGUCCGGCGCCUCCGGUUGGACGGAGGCUGCCGGCUCAGAAGGCUUUCUCCUCUUGGAAGGAGUUCGCCUGCCGCGGUCCGGAAUUGUUGAAGAUUCCGGCACGGUGUCCGGCUCAAAGCCGGACUUGGAGCCCUGGGGGGUCUUGUCCCCUUUACUCCUGGAGUCCGGGAGGUUGCCUUGUGGCUCCUCCAGGACCACCUCCUCCUGCCCCGGAGCUUGUCACGACGCCACUUCGGCAUCGUCCGCAGUGUGGGGGGAGACAACGGGCGGAACUGAGUUCACGUCCGACGAAUCCAGGGAGCCGCUCGACGACUCGUUGAGUUCGGCCCGGGGCGGGCUGCAUGAUUAUAUUCGACAUUAGGGAAAGUUGUGCAACAAAAGGAAUAUCAUGAGUUACUCUGGUAUCUGAACACUUACGAUUUUGCCGGACGCCUGGCCCUGUCCGGCCACUCCUCUUCGUCCUCGUCGGCAUCGGGGGCGUAGUCCAGCGGAGGGGUUUUCCUCUUCUUGGACCCUUCGCCCCCCCCCCCUACUGGGGCGGCCUUCCUCUUCUUUCCUCCCCCCGCUGGAGGGGGAGAGGUUUCUUCUUCCUCCUCCUCGUCUCCACGGGAAGAGUACGUCUCGGACUCGUCGGAUGACGAGUCCGACAACACCACAUUGCGGGCACUCCUUCGAGUCCCCGUGGUCUUCUUCUUCUUGGCCUUCUUUUCCGGCACCACAUAAGGCGCCGGAGCCAGCAGCUUCACUAGUAGAGCUGGGGCUGGGUCUUCGGGCAGCGGAGCCGGACAGUUAAUUGGUCCGUAUACCGCCCGCCAAGCCUGUCAAAGGUAAGGGAGUUUAGAUCCCGCAUAGAGUUAAACUAUGAAAAAAGCUGAACAUCCUAUAAAAGGUGAAAAUAGCUUACCUCGCUAGCGUGACGCUGCGAGCUAUAUCUGCGGUCCUCGGAAGCGGAUGCGGGAGCCUCGGCACCUUUGAUUAGCGCCUUCCAGACGUCUUCAUACAUCGUGUCGAAGAGCCUAUUAAGGGUUCGGUGCUGUGCCGGGUCGAACUCCCACAGAGUAAAGUCCCGUUGUUGACACGGGAGGAUUCGGCGAACGAGCAUGACCUGGACUACAUUUACAAGCCUGAUUGACUUGUUUACCAGGGACUGGAUGCAUGUCUUCAGUCCGGUCACCUCUUCCUUGUUACCCCAUGAUAGGCCCGUCUCUUUCCAGGACAUGAGCCGCGUGGGGGGUCCGGAUCGGAACUCGGGGGUUGCGAUCCAUUUCGGAUCGCGUGGCUCGGUGAUGUAAAACCACCCGGCUUGCCACCCCUUUAGGGUCUCUACGAAGGAGCCCUCGAACCACUGGACGUUGGCAAUCUUGCCCGCCAUGGCGCCUCCGCACUCCGCCUGGUUGCCGCACACCACCUUGGGCUUGACGUUGAAGGUCUUGAGCCAGAGGCAGAAAUGGGGGCGGACGCGGAGGAAAGCCUCGCACACGACGAUAAACGCCGAGAUGUUGAGGAUGAAGUUCGGGGCCAGAUCAUGGAAAUCCAGGCCGUAGUAGAACAUGAGCCCCGGACGAAUGGGUGAAGUGGAAAACCCAGUCCGCGGAGGAAGUGGGGAAGGAAUACUACCCUCUCAUGGGGCCUUGGGGUGGGGAGGAGCUGCCCCUUCUCGGGAAGCCGGUGCGCGAUGUCUUUGGACAAGUAUCCGGCCUUCCUAAGUUUUUUGACGUCGCCCUCCGUGACGGAGGAGACCUUCCACUUGCCUCCCGCUCCAGACAUCAUUGGAGAAGGUUGAGGUAGGAAGUGCGGGCUUGGGCGCUGGAGCUCGAGUGCGCAGGAGGUGGAUAGGCAAAGGAGGAAGAAGGCGUAGGUAAAAAGGUGGAUCCUUAUCCCCUUAUAUGGACGGAUGCGGUUGUGCGUCCCCACCUGCCUAAUAAAACUCGCUUGCCUCCCAAGCGUCGUGGUAAAUGGCACGGUUAGGGUUACCCACGUCCGUAUUGAUGAGAAUCCCGUAAAAAGGGCACACGAUCUCUGCUUUGACAAGACGUGCCAAGGAAGCCGCCUCGCAAAACAUGCUGAGGUGGAAAAGUAAAAAUGAUUCGAGUAAAGGACUUGGCUGUAGUGUGAUGGCGCACUGCAGAAUACGUCAGCAGAUUUGAUUUGUGUUAAUGUUAUUCUCUCUAUGGCAAUAUGUGGAAACUUAUUUUUGCAGAACCGGACACUACUCUUGGUGUUCACAAUCUUCUAUGAAGGACUUGGAGGAGGAACCCGCCUUGCAGUGCCGAAGACAAUUUGCGCGCCGGACUCGUCGUCAUUGAAGCCUGGUUCAGGGGCUACUGAGGGAGUCCUGGAUUAGGGGGUGUUCGGGUAGCCGGACUAUACCUUCGGUCGGACUCCUGGACUAUGAAGAUACAAGAUUGAAGACUUCGUCUCGUGUCCGGAUGGGACUUUCCUUGGCGUGGAAGGCAAGCUUGGCGAUGCGGAUAUUCAAGAUCUCCUACCAUUGUAACCGGCUUUGUGUAACCCUAACCCUAUCCGGUGUCUAUAUAAACCGGAGGGUUGUCGUCCGUAGGCAAUCAACUCCAUACACAACAAUCAUACCAUAGGCUAGCUUCUAGGGUUUAGCCUCCUUGAUCUCGUGGUAGAUCUACUCUUGUACUACCCAUAUCAUCAAUAUUAAUCAAGCAGGAGUAGGGUAUUACCUCCAUCGAGAGGGCCCGAACCUGGGUAAAACAAAGUGUUCCCUGCCUCCUGUUACCAUCCGGCCUAGACGCACAGUUCGGGACCCCCUACCCGAGAUCUGCCGGUUUUGACACCGACACCCUCCGUGAUUGAUUCCCCCUCCGGUGGAGCUCUGGAAAAGGCCCCAAGAUGGGAUCUCACGGGUACAGAAGGUUGCAGCGGUGGAAAUAGGGUUUCGUGGUGCUCCUGGAUGUUUUCGGGGUAUAUAUAUAUACAUAGGAGGAAGAAGUGGGUCGGUUGAGCUGCGAGGGGCCCAUGAGGGUGGGGGCGUGCCCAGGGGGCAGGGGUGCCCUCCUGCCUCGUGGCCACCUCAUUUCUUUCUUGACGUCUACUCCAAGUCCCCUGGAUCACGUUUGUUCCAAAAAUAACUCUCCCGAAGGUUUCAUUCCGUUUGAUAUUCAUUUUCUGCGAAACAAUGAAAUAGGCAAAAAACAGCAAUUUGCACUGGGCCUUGGGUUAGUAGGUUAGUCCCAAAAAUAAUAUAAAAGUGUAUAAAUAAGCCCAUUAACAUCCAAAACAGAUAAUACAAUAGCAUGCAACAAUCAAAAAAUAUAGAUACGUUGGAGACGUAUCAAGACACCACGUGAUGAUUGAUACGUCUCCAACGUAUCUAUAAUUUAUGAAGUAUUCAUGCCAUGUUUACAAUAGUUUUAUAUGAUUUUGGUAUGAUUUGAUUAGAACCAACCCGUACUGACAUUGUUUUCAGCAGAACUACCGUGGUGUUGUUUUUGUGCAGAAAUAAAAGUUCUCGGAAUGCGAUGAAAAUCAACGGAGAAUUUUUCAGGAAAAUAUAAAAAUACUGGAACAAAAAUCUAUCGGAGAGGAGACCCAUGGGCCCCACGAGGGUGGGAGCGCGCCCAACCCCCCCCCCCUCUGGGCGCGCCCCUGUGCCUCGUGGACUUCCCGUGGGGCCCCAUGACUUGUUCUAGAUGCCAACCUUUCCUAUAAAUGCCCAAACCACGAGAAAAUAACCUAGAUCGGAAGUUCCGCCGCUGCAAGCCUCUAUAGCCACAAGAAAUCAAUCUAGGCCCUCUCUGGCACCCUGCCGGAGGGGGCCAUCAUCACCGGAGGGCAUGGAGGAGGAUCCAAGAGGGGCCAUCAUCACCAUGAAGGCCAAGGACCAGAGGGGGAACCUCUCCCCAUCUAGGGGGGGAGGCCAUGGAGGAGGAAGCACAAGGGGGAGAACCUCUCCUCCUCUCUCUCUCUCUCUCUCUCUCUCUCUCUCUCUCUCUCUCUCUCUCGGUGGCGCCGGAGUGCCAUCGGGAGGGGAAGCAUCGCCGCGGUGAUUGUCUUCAUCAACAUCACCAUCAUCAUCACCAUCCUCAUCUCUUUUACGCGGUCCACUCUCCCGCACCCCGCUGUAAUCCCUACUUGAACAUGGUGCUUUAUGCCACAUAUUAUGAUCCAAUGAUGUAUUGCCAUCCUAUGAUGUUUUGAGUAGAUAUCCUUUGUCUUUGGGUUGAUUGAUGAUCUAGAUUGGUACAAGUUGUAUAUUUUAUUUCGGUGUUGUCCUAUUGUGCCCUCCAUGUUGCGCAAGCGUGAGGGAUUCCCGCUGUAGGGUGUUGCAAUACGUUCAUGAUUCACUUAUAGUAGGUUGCUUGAGUGACAGAAGCAUAAACCCGAGUAAGGGGGUUGUUGCAUAUGGGAUAAAGGGGACUUGAUGCUUUAAUGCUAUGGUUGGGUUUUACCUUAAUGAUCUUUAGUAGUUGUGGAUGCUUGCUAGAGUUCCAAUCAUAAGUGCAUAUCAUCCAAGAAGAGAAAUUAUGUUAGCUUAUGCCUCUCCCUCAUAUGAAAUUGCAAUGACGACUAUCGGUCUUGUUAACAAUUGCCUAAGACAAUUCCGCACACCGAUCCACCAUUAUUCCACACUCGCUAUUUAUAAUAUUUAGUAAUAUAUUCUAACUUAUGAUAACAACACCUACUUUUAUAUUUUAUCUCUCCGAUACCAUGCAAAGUUAUCCUCUUCAUACCCACAACAUAGUUUUAUUUCUCGUUUCUAGUUGGAAGCAAAUGUUCGGUGUACGUAGAGUCGUAUCAGUGGCAGAUAGGACUUGAGAUAAUAUUGAUCUUACCUUUAGCUCCUUGUGGGUUCGACACUCCAUACUUAUCAAUUCCACCAUUGGGAAUUGCUACGAUGAUUCCCUGCACUUGAGGAUUAUCAAGCUCUUUUCUGGCGCCGUUGCCGGGGAGCAAUAGCAUGGGGUUGAUAUUCUCGUGUGUGCUUGUUUGCUUUCUUCACUAAGUAGAUUUUGUUUUUCCUUUUUUGUUUCUGUUUAGUUGUGGGUGAAACAUACAUUUUUUAAGAAUGAAAAUACAAAAAAAUUACUUGCCUAUCAUGCCUAAAAAGUUUUUCAAUGAGAGAAGUGAUUGGAAGAUUAUGCAUUGAAGAAAUGAGGGUCGACCUUGAGCACUUGUGUUCAUGCUCAUGGAAACAAUGUAAAAAAAUUCAUGGAAGAUUCUCUGAAAAUAAUUAUCCCCUUGUAUAUAUCCAUCGUAAUAUAAAAAUAAUGUGCCAAGCCUUGGUUUUAGGAUGAUUAGAUUGCUUGUUUACUUUGUGCAGUACAAAAACAGAAACUUUGGCUGUAGCGCGUGAUUUUACAUUUUUUACUGGAAAGUCAAAUAGGUAUGAAACUUUUUGCACAUUACUUCUGUACAAAUUUUUUAAAUUGUCAUAUUUUUCUGAAAUUUUGGAGUUACAGAAGUAUACUAAACUUCCAGAUUACUACAGACUGUCCUGUUUUUGACAGAUUCUGUUUUCUAUGUGUUGAUCGCUUAUUUUGAUGAAUCUAUGGGUAGUAUCGGGGGGUAUGAACCAUGGUGAAGUUGGAAUAUAGUAUAUAUAAUUCUAAUAUGAAAUUGGAAUGAGUUUUCAACAGUACCUAAAGGUAGUGAUUUGCUUUGUUAUACUAACGGAUCUCACAAAGUUUUUGUUAAAGUUUUGUGUGGUUGAAGUGUUCAAGGAACGAGGAGUUGCCGAAGUGAGAAGAAUAAAGAGAGGCAAGAGCUCAAGCUUGGGGAUUCCCAAGGCAUCCCAAGUAAAUAUUCUAAGGAUACUCAAGCAUCUAAGCUUGGGGAUGCCCCGGUUGGCAUCCCAUCUUUCUUCUUCAACAAUUAUCGGUAUACCUCGGUUUUUGUUUUGUUCACAUGAUUUGUGUCCUUUGUGUUUUUUGUUUUUCCUUUAAGAACCAUGCUAGUAUGAGAUAGACCUUCAUUUAUUUAUAGAAUGAUUCAUGUGCUUCACAUAUAUCUUUUAAGUAUGAUCUUAUAGAAUUGCUCUUUGUGCUUCACUUAAAUCUUUUGAGUAUGAUUUUAUAGAAUGCUUCGUGUGCUUCACUUAUAUAUUUUGAGCUUGGAUAUUGGUUAGUCUAUAUUAAUUGUAGAAUUCUCCAUGAACUUCACUUAUAUCUUUUGGAUUAUGGAUAAUACUAUAAUCUAAAGUGGAUUUGGAAGAGUGUCAACUUUAGUUAGUAAUGAUUCCACUAUUUCAGAAGAGGUUCCAAUUGAUUAUGAGAACAAAUCUGCUAUCUAUGAUGAAUAUUGUGAUGACAUGUAUGCUAUAAAUAAUUAUGUUAACCAUGAAAAUUUCCAUCAUGAUUUUAAUUUUCAAUUGGAUUAUGCCUCACAUGACCGUUAUUCUGUUGAGUUUGCUCCCAUUAUUCCGAAUGAGAAGAAUUUUGCUUAUGUGGAGAGUAGAAAAUUUUCUAUGCUUGUAGAUGAUGAAAAGAAUGCUUUAUGUGAUGGUUAUAUUGUUGAAUUCAUUCAUGAUGCUACAAAAAAUUAUUAUGAGGGAGGAAUAUAUGCUUGUAGGAGUUGCAAUAAUAUCAAGUUUCCUCUCUAUGUGCUUGAAGUUUUGAAGUUAUCCUUGUUUUGCCUUCCUAUGCUAGUUGAUCCUUGUUCCUAUAAAUUGUGUGCUCACAAAAUCCCCAGGCAUAGGAAGUGGGUUAGGUUCAAAUGUGCUAGUCAUAUUCUUCAUGAUGCUCUCUUUAUGUUUCAGUUCUUAUCUUUUAUGUGAGCAUCAUUGAAAUCAUCAUGCCUACUGAUACGUCUCCGUCGUAUCUAUAAUUUUUGAUUGUUCCAUGCCAAUAUUAUACAACUUUAAUAUACUUUUGGCAACUUUUUAUACUAUUUUUGGGACUAACAUAUUGAUCCAAUGCCCAGUGCCAGUUCCUGUUUAUUACAUGUUUUUUUCGCAGAAAAUCCAUAUCAAACGGAGUCCAAACGGGAUAAAAAUUGACGGAGAUUUUUUUUGGAAUAUAUGUGAAUUUUGGAAAGUGAAAUCAACACGAGACGAUACACGAGGGUCCCACGAGGUAGGGGGCGCGCCCCUGACCCUCAUGGACACCCCGUAAGGUGGUUGUUGCCCUUAUUUCGCCGCAAGAAAGCUAAUAUCUGGAUAAAAUCGUGUUCAAAUUUCAAUCCAAUCGGAGUUAUGGAUCUCCGGGAAUUUAAGAAACGGUGAAAGGGCAGAAUCAGGAAUGCGGAAACAGAGAGAGAGAGAGAGAGAGAGAGAGAGAGAGAGAGAGAGAGAGACAGAGAGACAGAGAGACAGAGAGACAGAUCCAAUCUCGGAGGGGCUCUCGCCCCUCCGCCGCCAUGGAGGCCAUGGACCAGAGGGGAAACCCUUCUCACAUCUAGGGACAAGGUCAAUGAAGAAGAAGGGGGGCUCUCUCCCCUUCUCUCCCGGUGGCACCGGAACGUCGCCGGGGCCGUCAUCGUGUGACGGCGAUCUAGACCAACACCUCCAUCAUCUUCACCAACAUAUUCAUCACCUUCCCCCAUCUAUCUACAGCGGUCCACUCUCCAGCAACCCGUGUACCCUCUACUUGAACAUGGUGCUUUAUGCUUCAUAUUAUUAUCCAAUGAUGUGUUGCCAUCCUAUGAUGUCUGAGUGGAUUUUCGUUGUCCUAUCGGUAAUUGGUGAAUUGCUAUGGUUGGUUUAGUUUGCUUGUGGUUAUGUUGAUGUCCUUUGGUGCCCAUCAUAUGAGCGUGCGCGUGGAUCACACCAUAGGGUUAGUUGUAUGUUGAUAGGACUGUGUAUUGGAGGGCAAGAGUGACAUAAACUUCAACCUAGCAUAGAAAUUGAUGCAUACGGGAUUGAAGGGGGACCAAUAUAUCUUAAUGCUAUGGUUGGAUUUUACCUUAAUGAACAUUAGUAGUUGUGGAUGCUUGCUAAUAGUUCCAGUCAUAAGUGCAUAGAAUUCCAAGUCAGGGAUGACAUGCUAGCAGUGGCCUCUCCCACAUAAAACUUGCUAUCGGUCUAGUAAAGUAGUCAAUUGCUUAGGGAAAAUUUCGCAACUCCUACCACCACUUUUCCACACUCGCUAUACUAACUUUAUUGCUUCUUUACCUAAAACAGCCCCUAGUUUUUAUUUACGCGCUCUUUAUUAUCUUGCAAACCUAUACAAAAACACCUGCAAAGUACUUCUAGUUUCAUACUUGUUCUAGGUAAAGCGAACGUUAAGCGCACGUAGAGUUGUAUCGGUGGUCGAUAGAACUUGAGGGAAUAUUUGUUCUACCUUUAGCUCCUCGUUGGGUUCGACACUCUUACUUAUUGAAAGAGGCUACAAUUGAUCCCCUAUACUUGUAGGUUAUCAAGACCUUUUUCUAGCGUCGUUGCCGGGGAGCAAUAGCGUGGGGUGAAUAUUCUCGUGUGUGCUUGUUUGCUUUAUCACUAAGUAAUUUUUAUUUGCUGUUCUAAGUUGUUUUGUAUCUUUAGUUAUGGAUAUGGAACACGAAAUACCAAAAAAAUUAGGUUUACUUGCUACUCAUGCAUGGAGAUGGGGAACCUCCUAAAACCCUCGAUGCUCAUUAUGUGAAAGAUAUUAUGCACUGCUUUAAUAAUCCUGAGAAAACCCCAUUCAAUUAUGUAAUGGGAGACACGUUGGAUCAACGUGAAUACUUUAGGGAUUAUCGCUUGACUCAAAAAGGGAAAUUAUUAUGGGAUCAAAUUUAUAUGUUGCAUUGGUAUGCUCGGCAACUAUGCUUGAGAUAUGAUUAUACUUGUUGCUCUAGGAUGAAGGCUCCACACCUUCCCUUUUCAUGCAAUUUUAAUGAUAAUGAAACCUUAGCUUCUUAUGAUAAUGGUAUAUAUGGUUACUAUGAUGUGGAACGAAUAGAAUAAUUUGUUGCUUUUAAGGGUGCUUGUGAAAUUGAAUCUUUGUUUAAAGAGUUUGAAGAUUUUGAUGAUUCAGUUUAUAGACCUGAAAAUUUAGCUAUCCUUAAAUAUUGCUAUGAGAAUUAUAAAUACAAUUAUGAUAUUGAUGAAUUUAUUGAGAAAGUCUCCGCUGUCCGUGAAGAGACUAGUAUUUUGCAGGAGUCUAUGGAAGAAGGAAAUGAUGAAACUGUGGGCUCAUUGGAUGAAAAAGAUGAUGAGGAGAGCGAAGAACAAAAGGAGGAAGAGCAGAUUAGCUACCCGUGCCCACCUUCUAAUGAGAGUAACUCUUCAACUCAUACAUUGUUUAAUUUCCCUUCGUGCUUACCGAAGGAUGGUUGCUAUGAUGAUUGUUAUGAUCCCGUUGAUUCUUUUGAUGAUGCUUGCUAUGCUUGUGGCCAAGAUGCCAAUAUGAAUUAUGCUUAUGGAGAUGAACUUGCUAUAGUUCCUUAUGAAAUUGUUGCUACUGCACCCACGCAUGAUAGUCCUAUUAUCUUUUUGAAUUCUCCCGACUACACUAUAUCGGAGAAGUUUGCCCUUAUUAAGGAUUAUAUUGAUGGGUUGUGUUUUACUACUACACAUGAUGAUUUUGAUGAAUAUAAUAUGCAUGUGCUUGCUGCUCCUACUUGCAAUUAUUAUGAGAAAGGAACUACAUCUCCGCCUCUCUAUGUUUCCAACACGAUAAAAUUGCAAGAAAUUGUUUAUACUAUGCAUUGGCCUUUACUAUGUGUGCAUUAAAUUGUUCUUUUAUGACAUGCCGAUGCAUAGGAAGAGAGUUAGACUUCGUAAUUGCUUGAUAUAUGUUGCUUUGUGCUCACUACUAAAUGCCAACUCAUUGCUAAUUCAAAUUGGCUUCGAUAUACCUUGGGAUCCGGGUGGAUCCAUUACUUGAGCACUAUAUGCCUAGCUUAAUGGCUUUAAAGAAAGCGCUGCCAGGGAGACAACCUGAAAGUUUUAGAGAGUCAUUUAUUUACGUUGUGUGAUUUUAUAAAGUACAAAUCCAUUGUAUUAUAAAAAUAAUGUGCCAAGAUUUGCCUUUAGGAUGUUUACAUUGCUUGUUGGUUUGUGCGGUGCAAGAUAGAAACUUUGGCUGUAGUGCGCGAUUUUACAUUUUUUACUAGAACGUCAAACGGUUCUGAAACUUUUUGCACUGUCUUUAUAUACAAAUUGUUUAUUUUUCCUAAAAAAUCAGAAUUUUCGGAGUACCAGAAAUAUGGUGAAUGUUCAGAUUACUACAGACUGUCCUGUUUAAGAAAGAUUCUAUUUUUGAUGCAUAGUUUGCUUGUUUUCAUGAAACUAUCGAUUUCUAUCAGUGGAUUAAGCCAUGGAAAAGUUAUAUUACAGUAGCUAUAAUGCAAAAACAAAAUAUGAAUUGGUUUGCAACAGUACUUAGAGUAGUGAUUUGCUUUAUUAUACUAACGGAUCUUACCGAGCUUUCUAUUGAGUUUUGUGUGGAUGAAGUGAUCAAAGAUCGAGGAGGCCUCGAUAUGAGGAGAAGGAGGAGAGGCAAGAGCUCAAGCUUGGGGAUGACCAAGGCACCCCAAGUAAAUAUUCAAGGAGAAUCAAGUGUCUAAGCAUGGGGAUGCCCCGGAAGACAUCCCAUCUUUCUUCUAACAAUCAUCGGUAAUUUCACUUGGAGCUAUAUUUUUAUUUGUCACAUGAUAUGCGUAAAUCUUGGAGCGUCUUUUGCAUUUAGUUUUCACUUUUCUUUUAUGCACCAUGCUGGUAUGAGAUAGUCCAUGGUUGAUUUAUAGAAUUCUCUUUGCACUUCACUUAUAUCUUUUGAGUAUGGCUUUAUAGAAUGCUUCAUGUGCUUCACUUAUAUCUUUUGAAGUUUGGAUUACAUGUUUCUCUUCACAUAGAAAACCGCCAUUUGUAGAAUGCUCUUUUGCUUCACUUAUAUUUGUUAGAGCGUGGUCAUAUCUUUUGUAGAAAGGAUUAAACUCUCUUGCUUCACUUAUAUCUAUUUAGAGAGAUGACAGGAACUGGUCAUUCACAUGGUUAGUCAUAAAAUCCUACAUAAAACUUGUAGAUCACUGAAUAUGAUAUGUUUGAUUCCUUGCAAUAGUUUUGCGAUAUAAAGAUGGUGGUAUUAUAGUCAUGCUAGUGGGUAGUUGUGGAUUGUAGAAAUACUUGUGUUGAAGUUUGUGAUUCUCGUAGCAUGCACGUAUGGUGAACCAUUAUGUGAUGAAGUCGGAGCAUGAUUUAUUUAUUUAUUGUCUUCCUUAUGAGUGGCGGUCGGGGAUGAGCGAUGGUCUUUUCCUACCAAUCUAUCCCCCUAGGAGCAUGCGUGUAGUACUUUGUUUCGAUAGCUAAUAGACUUUUGCAAUAAGUAUGUGAGUUCUUUAUGACUAAUGUUGAGUCCAUGGAUUAUACGCACUCUCACCCUUCCAUCAUUGCUAGCCUCUUUGGUACCGUGCAUUGCCCUUUCUCACCUCGAGAGUUGGUGCAAACUUCGCCGGUGCAUCCAAACCUCAUGAUAUGAUAGCUCUGUCACACAUAAGCCUCCUUAUAUCUUCCUCAAAACAGCCACCAUACCUACCUAUCAUGGCAUUUCCAUAGUCAUUCCGAGAUAUAUUGCCAUGCAAUUUCCAUCAUCAUCAUAUACAUGACUUGAGCAUUCAUUGUCAUAUUGCUUUGCAUGAUCAUAAGAUAGCUAGCAUGAUAUUUUCAUGGCUUGUCCAUUUUUUAAUAUCUUUGCUACGCUAGAUCAUUGCGCAUCCCGGUACACCGCCGGAGGCAUUCAUAUAGAGUCAUAUCUUUGUUCUAGUAUUUAGUUGUAAGUAAAUAAAAGUGUGAUGAUCAUCAUUAUUAGAACAUUGUCCCGGGCGAGGUUAUCAAAAUAAAAGAGGCCAAAGAAGCCUACCAAAAAUAUAAAAAAAUAUAAAAAUGAGAGAAAAGAGAGAAGGGACAAUGUUACUAUCCUUUUACCACACUUGUGCUUCAGAGUAGCACCAUGUUCUUCAUAUAGAGAGUCUCUUGAGUUAUCACUUUCAUAGACUAGUGGUAAUUUUUCAUUAUAGAACUUGGCUUGUAUAUUCCGAUGAUGGGCUUCCUCAAAUGCCCUGGGUCUUCAUGAGCAAGCAAGUUGGAUGAACACCCACUUAGUUUUCAGUUUGAGCUUUCAUACACUUAUAGCUCUUAGUGCAUUUGUUGCAUGGCAAUCCCUACUCCUCGCAAUGACAUCAAUUGAUGGGCAUCUCCAUAGCCCAUUGAUUAGCCUCGUUGAUGUGAGACUUUCUUCCUUUUUGUCUUCUCCACACAACCUCCAUCAUCAUAUUCUAUUCCACCUAUAGUGCUAUAUCCAUGGCUCACACUCAUGUAUUGCGUGAAAGUUGAAAGGUUUGAGAUCAUCAAAAGUAUGAAACAAUUGCUUGGCUUGUCAUCGGGGUUGUGCAUGAUUUGAAUAUUUUGCGUGGUGAAGAUGGAGCAUAGCCAGACCAUAUGAUUUUUUAGGGAUAACUUUCUUUGGCCAUGUUAUUUUGAAACAACAUGAUUGCUUUAUUAGUAUGCUUGAAGUAUUAUUGUCUUAAUGUCAAAUGAUAGACUAUUGCUUCGAAUCACUUGUGUCUUAAUAUUCAUGCCAUGAUUAGAUUACAUGAUCAAGAUUAUGCUAGGUAGCAUCCCACAUCAAAAAUUAUUUUUUUAUCAUUUACCUACUCGAGGUCGAGUAGGAAUUAAGCUUGGGGAUGUUGAUAUGUCUCCGUCGUAUCUAUAAUUUUUGAUUGUUCCAUGCCAAUAUUAUACAACUUUCAUAUACUUUUGGCAACUUUUUAUACUAUUUUUGGGACUAACAUAUUGAUCCAGUGCCCGGUGCCAGUUCCUGUUUGUUGCAUGUUUUUUGUUUCGCAGAAAAUCGAUAUCAAACGGAGUCCAAACGGGAUAAAAACUGACAGAGAUUUUUUUGGAAUAUAUGUGAAUUUUGGGAAGUGAAAUCAACGCAAGAUGAUGCUCGAGGGUCCCAUGAGGCAGGGGCGCGCCCCUGACCCUCGUGGACACCCUGUAAGGUGGUUGUUGCCCUUCUUUCGCCGCGAGAAAGCUAAUAUCCGGAUAAAAAUCGUGUUCAAAUUUCAAUCCAAUCAAAGUUACGGAUCUCCACGAAUUUAAGAAACGGUGAAAGGGCAGAAUCAGGAACGCAGAAACAGAGAGAGACAGAGAGACAGAUCCAAUCUCAGAGGGGCUCUCACCCCGCCGCCGCCAUGGAGGCCAUGGACCAGAGGGGGGAAACCCUUCUCCCAUCUAGGGAUAAGGUCAAGGAAGAAGAAGAAGAAGAAGGGGGGCUCUCUCCCCCUCUCCCCGAUGGCGCCGGAAUGCCGCCGGGGCCAUCAUCGUGUGACGGCGAUCUAGACCAACACCUCUGUCAUCUUCACCAACAUAUUCAUCACCUUCCCCCAUGUAUCUACAGCGGUCCACUCUCCCACAACCCGCUGUACCCUCUACUUGAACAUGGUGCUUUUUGCUUCAUAUUAGUAUCCAAUGUUGUGUUGCCAUCCUAUGAUGUCUGAGUAGAUUUUCGGUUGUCCUAUCAGUAAUUGGUGAAUUACUAUGAUUGGUUUAAUUUGCUUGUGGUUAUGUUGUUGUCCUUUGGUGCCCAUCAUAUGAGCACGCGCGUGGAUCACACCAUAGGGUUAGUUGUAUGUUGAUAGGACUAUGUAUUGGAGGGCAAGAGUGACAGAAGCUUCAACCUAGCAUAGAAAUUGAUGCAUACGGGAUUGAAGGGGGGCCAAUAUAUCUUAAUGCUAUGGUUGGGUUUUACCUUAAUGAACGUUAGUAGUUGCGGAUGCUUGCUAAUAGUUCCAAUCAUAAGUGCAUAGAAUUCCAAGUUAGGGAUGACAUGCUAGCAGUGGCCUCUCCCACAUAAAACUUGCUAUCGGUCAUGUCGUGGAGUUGACACGGCAGAUGUCCUAGAGCAAGGACUUAGUUGUAGGGCCAUCGCACUAGGAAACUUAAAGGGGUUGAUCGGGACAAAGGACACACGAGAGAGUUUUUAUACUAGUUCGGCCCCUUACAAUGAAGGUAAAAGCCUACGUCUAGUUGGGAUUGGUAUUGCUGAGGUUUCAAUCUCCAAGAGGCUCAACUCGCCGACUUGGUUAUCAACUUGGUUGUUUCUUUUCUAAACCGCCACCGGGUCGUCCCCUUAUAUACACGGGUUGACGCCUGGUGGCCUACAGAGUCCUGGACGGCUCAUAAUCAUGUCCGGCUCGGUGACUUCCCUUACAAGCCUUUCUUUACAAGCCUUUCCUUAUAUACAGCAGUUUACAAUGUCAGGCCUUAAGCCGGCCCCAGGCCUUUGGGCCUUCUAUACAUUUAGUAAACUAUCAUCUUGAAUGUUUAUCGGGCUUCUUGUGUAACCUGCCAUUAGGGCUGACUCGGCCCCUCCUGGGUGGGUCAUACUGGUAGUAAUAUCCCCAACAUUAGGCCCCGGGUUGACUUUGAACUUUGUUCUCUGUCAAUCUUCAAUACUUAGGUGGAAUCCAUCCUCUGUCUAAAAACUUUUGUAACCCGCCGUGACGUCAUCUUCUAAAAACACAAAAAACCUUCAUGACGUCAUCUUCCAACGGAUCUUUCAUUUUUUAAUGCCUUCCAAGAAUCAAGGUGUCAGUUUAUUUGGAUAAUCAUUAUUCAGGUCUCCUUGAUUUUCGCGCCCGCCUGUUCGCGCACUCCCUUAUAAAUAGGUACAACUUAGGUCUUUUUCAUUCUCCCCCUUCUGUCGUCUUCUUCCUCUUACUGCUUCGCUGCCGCUAGAUCUCUGCCGCCGCCGCCGUCACAGAUCUCCUCGUCUUCUCCACCUCAGGUUGCUGCAUCGACCUGACUUGUCUAGAGAAACGCAACGAACCUUUGCAGUGAAUCCGCACCCGUAAGUCUCGCCUUCUCAAACUUUUUAGAUCUGCAUUAGGGCUUUGCGAGUUCGUCGGUGUUCUUCGUUGUUCUUCAUGAACUUUCCUGGUAGUUCUUCCUCCGCAGCCUCUAGGGAUCCAAAAAGGAAAUAUAACUUGCGCAGUAGUUGUUUGGCGUCCAUUUUUGAUAGCCGUAGAUCCCUUUUUUCUGUAUAGAUGCUUCGUUAUAGCUGAUGAACCCAUCUGUACUAGAUAUUUAGGUCUAGAAUAUUUUUCUUUUCAGAACAGCCAUUUGAUCCAAAAUAAUAAUGACAGCUUGGUAAAACUUGUUUAUGCCAACACUUAGCUAAAUCUGCUUUCUGAGAAAAUCUGUAGUCAUGGUGGCUUGCCGCUCCGGCUUUCUUUUCACCAUAUGUCAUUAGCCCUUAGUAAAACCGCCAUUACUUGUUUUAUAUCUGACUAUAAACUGAACCGGCAAGUUGUUAUUUCUUUUUCAGUUCUUUGCACAUCAUGCCACCAAAGACACCCACCGUCUGUAACUGGGUCCCCUCAUCCGUAACUGAGGAACGGUUAAAAGAGUUCUUCCUCAUUGGGUUUCUGCCUUCAAAAAAUGUCAUGUCUUAUCAUGCUCCUGACCUGGAGGAAGAACGCCCCAACCCAAAAGACGGAGAAGUGAUUGUCUUCACUGACCACAUGAACCGUGGCUUCUCACCGCCCGGUUCAAAAUUCUUCAGAGAGGUCCUUCAUUUUUUCAAACUCCAUCCUCAGGACCUUGGACCCAAUUCCAUCUCUAACAUUUGUAACUUCCAAGUACUCUGUGAGGUGUAUCUUCAGCAAGAGCCGACCGUAGAGCUGUUUAGGGAGUACUUUUAUCUGAACCGGCAGAACGAAUGUACCAACGGUCCUAGCUUAGAACUUGGAGGCAUCUCAAUUCAGCGCCGUCAGGGUGCUGUCUUCCCUCUCAUCAUCUUACCAAGUCACCCAAAGGACUGGAACCAAACUUGGUUUUAUUGUUAGGAUAUUUCUCCAGCAAACGAGAAGCCGCUGCCGGGUUACCGCCCCGGUCGUCUUGACUCCAAGUUCACCCUUCCGGAUAAGCUCACCGUUGCUGAACGCAAGAGGCUGCUUCCAUCCAUCAGAAGAAUCAACGCUUUGUUGGGCAACGGUUUAACCGGAGUAGAUCUGACCCGCUGCUGGAUCUCAUGGCGGGUUAUUCCAUUAAGCCGUCGAUCGAAACUGAUGUAUGAAUAUGGCAGAAGCCCGGACGACUUUCUUCGUCACAGCCCAGUUGAACUCACCGAACAAGACAUUGUUUCAAUGUCAAUCCUUUUGGUGAAUGGGAAAUAUGAAGCCUGCAGCAUUGUUGGGUUAAAGCCCUUCUGCAAGCUUAACCCGGUACCAGAAGUAAGCUUAACCCGGCACUGAUCUUUCUUCUUGUCUUUGCAGGCCAAUUCUGACUUUUGGAAAGUCAAAUAUGAUCACGAGGCUGCUAAGAAGGCAAAAGCGCUACCAUGAACACCAAAAAGUCGACCCGGAAGUCAAAGAAGAAAAAGAAAACCACUGCUGAAGAUUUAAUGAAACUUGAUGAUACGUCUGACUGAGGUAGCCCUUGAUUCCCUUGGCCAAUUUUUUAACAAUCUUAUUGACACUGAUCCUUACCAGGAUGACACUGGGGCCAGUCGGGCCGGGGAAGCAGAGGUGACUAUCAUUUCCUUUGACUCAAAGCCCUUACCAAGACACAGAGUUCGACAAGUGAUCCGUAAAGUAAGGUUUUCUAACCCCUUAGCUCACUUGGAUCCCAACUUUCAUUUGAAAAAACAGCAACAUGAAAGCCGCCGUGAAGCUGGGAUUGAAGACGAACCGGCUGUCAUCCUUCAACAGACCCCUCGGAAACAUCCGAACGAGGUUUACUUAUUGCUAUCUUUAACUUGCUUUAAUGAAUCCUGCUCCUCAUAUUUCUUUUAACUCUUUUCUUUUAUUCUUUCAGGAGGUGUCUCGUUCCUUAGGCGACUCAUCUCAAACACAAUUCCCGGCUUUCAAGACUGCACCUGGGUAAUCAGAAAUCCUCUUUUCUUCCGGGUCGCUCAAUUGUAUCUUGAUGCUGACAAUCCUACAAUAUUUUUUCCUUAGCGGCCAGGCUAAAUCCAAGAAGACGAAGGCAGCAAAACCGGUGAAAGACCCGCCAGUUCUAGCAUCUAACCCGGCUAGGCCGCCUUCUCCAUUAAUUGACGCCCCAGAAGACCCGCCUAUUGUUAAUGAAGCAAAUCCUCCGGAGCCAUCUCUUGACGAAGCCGCUAUAAAUCCACGUGCUCAAGAUGUUCAAAUUACUGGGAGCCGCUUUGUUGAUGGGGGCUUAAGGUUCACUUUGAUGUUGCCAACUAUGACCGUCUCAAUGCCAGUGAUAUCUUAUCCGGCUAUCUCAGUCAUGUACACUCCAGUCGUGAGUCUAAGAUCGAGAUGGUCAAGUAGCUUUAGUUGAAGUAUGAGGUAUGUUGUUUUCGGUUUACCAAUAUUCCUUCAGCCCCCAAGUCUUCAGAUUAUGAGAGAAACGGAAUAACCUGUAGACUUAGAAUAUAGGCCGAGACUUUUACCUCUGAAUCUUUGUCUGAUAUCGAUAGAACAAAACUACACCCAUAGUCCCCAAGGACCGGUUUAUUUUGAUCAUUAAUGAAUCGGUACUUUAGAAUUUAAAACCAUCUGCAAAGUACUUAACACUCUGGUUUAACCUUGAUAAACUUGCUGAACUGCGUACAUUAGCCCCCAAGUGCCAAGUGUUGUUACUUUGUAAAGGACUUGGGACUUCAAAUAUGUUGGUAGAGUCGUAAAAAAUUGAUUUGGCAUACAUUAGCCCCCAAGUGUCAAGUGUUGUUACUUAUUAAAGGACUUGGGACUUCAAAUAUGUUGGUAGAGUCGUAAAAAUUUGAUUUGGCAUACAUUAGCCCCCAAGUGUCAAGUGGUUUAUUCGUAAAGUACUUGGGACUUGAAUCUAGAAUUUAAAUACUGGAAUUUGAAACCAAGUCUUGACUUAUCUAAAAGUUUCACAGAAUGCAUUGUCUGAAUUGAAUUCUUAAUUAUCGGACGCAAAGACCCGGCUAGCAAGUCAAGAGUCCGAAAUCAAAUCUUCCACUUCCAAACUGCAAAUGAGCCUUUCUGCAAUGGAAAAUUUGAAGACCAGCUUUGCUACCAAGGAGAAGGCUUAGGAAAAUGAGAAAACACUCCUGACCCGAUGAGCUGAGACAGCCGAAACAGCUUGAUACGUCUCCAACGUAUCUAUAAUUUUUGAUUGCUCCAUGCUAUAUUAUCUACUGUUUUGGGCAAUAUUGGGCUUUAUUAUCCACUUUUAUAUUAUUUUUGGGACUAACCUAUUAACCGGAGGCCUAGCCCAGAUUUCCUGUUUUAUGCCUAUUUUAGUGUUUCGAGGAAAAGGAAUAUCAGACGGAGUCAAAACGAAACGAAAUCAACUAGAGAAGUUAUUUUUGGAACGAAAGCCACCCGAUGGACUUGGACCCCACGUCAAGGAAGGAACGAGGUGCUCACGAGGGUGGGGGGUGCCCCCCCUAGGGCGCGCCCCCUAUCUCGUGGGGCCCUCAUGGCUCCACUGACGUACCUCCUGCACCCAUAUAUACCUACGUGACCUAAAACUUCCAUAACGCAACAUAGAUCUAGAGUUCCACCGCCAGAAGCCUCCGUAGCCACCAAAAGUCAAUCGGGACCCUGUUCCGGCACCCUGCCGGAGGGGGGAACCCUCACCGGUGGCCAUCUUCAUCAUCUCGGUGCUCUCCAUGACGAGGAGGGAGUAGUUCUCCCUCGGGGCUGAGGGUAUGUACCAGUAGCUAUGUGUUUGAUCUCUCUCUCUCGUGUUCUUGAUUUGGCACGAUCUUGAUGUAUCGCGAGCUUUGCUAUUAUAGUUGGAUCUUAUGUUUCUCCUCCCCCUCUUCUCUCUUGUAAUGAAUUGAGUUUCCCCUUUGAAGUAAUCUUAUAGGAUUGAGUCUUUAAAGACUUGAGAACACUUGAUGUAUGUCUUGCCGUGGAUAUCUGUGGUGACAAUGGAAUACCACGUGCCACUUGAUGUAUGUUGAGGUGAUCAACUUGCGGGUUUCGUGACAUUGGGAACCUAUGCAUAGGGGUUGGCACAUGUUUUCGUCGUGAUUCUCCGGUAGAACUUUGGGGCACUCUGUGAGGUUCUAUGUGUUGGUUGAAUAGAUGAAUCUGAGAUUGUGUGAUGCAUAUCGUAUAAUCAUACCCACGGAUACUUGAGGUGACAUUGGAGUAUCUAGGUGACAUUAGGGCUUUGGUUGAUUUGUGUCUUAAGGUGUUAUUCUAGUACGAACUCUAGGGCUGUUUGUGACACUUAUAGGAAUAGCCCAACGGAUUGAUUGGAAAGAAUAACUUUGAGGUGGUUUCGUACCCUACCAUAAUCUCUUCGUUCGUUCUCCGCUAUUAGUGACUUUGGAGUGACUCUUUGUUGCAUGUUGAGGGAUAGUUAUGUGAUCCAAUUAUGUUCGUAUUGUUGAGGGAACUUACACUAGUGAAAGUAUGAACCCUAGGCCCUAUUUCCUAUCAUUGUAAUACCGUUUACGCUCACGUUUAUCACUUGCUACCUUGCUAUUUUUAUAUUUUCAUAUUACAAAAACUAUUAUCUACUAUCCAUAUUCCACUUGUAUCACCAUCUCUUCGCCGAACUAGUGCACCUAUACAAUUUACCAUUGUAUUGGCUGUGUUGGGGACACAAGAGACUCUUUGUUAUUUGGUUGCAGGGUUGCUUGAGAGAGACCAUCUUCAUCCUACACCUCCCACGGAUUGAUAAACCUUAGGUCAUCCACUUGAGGGAAAUUUGCUACUAUCCUACAAACCUCUGCACUUGGAGGCCCAACAACGUCUACAAGAAGAAGGUUGUGUAGUAGACAUCAAGCUCUUUUCUGGCACCGUUGCCGGGGAGGUGAGUGCUUGAAGGUAUAUCUUUAGAUCUUGCAAUCGAGUCUUUUAGUUUCUUGUUUUAUCACUAGUUUAGUUUAUAAAAGAAAACUACAAAAAAUGGAAUUGAGUUUGUCUCAUACGCUUCAUAUUUUUAAUAUCUUUCAUGAGUAUGAUGGAAAGGAUAAUUGUGCUCAAGUGCUAGAAUAAGAAAUCUAUAAAAUGUUUGGCACUAAAUAUUUGAAUGAUGAGCAUGAUUGCAAUGGUGUUAGUAUGAAUUCCUUGAAUAUCCAUGAUGCUAAUGAUAUACAAAGCCACAAGCUUGGGGAAGCUAUGUUUGAUGAAGAUGAUAUUUUUUGUCCCCCAAGUUUUCAUGAGCAAAUUUAUUAUGAUGAAAGCAUGCCUCCUAUUUAUGAUGAUUAUGUUGAUGAAAGUGGAUUUGGAGAAGUCAUGACUUUAUUUUGUGAUGAAUCCACUAUUCCGGAAGAGGUUCCAAUUGAUUAUGAGAACAAAGUUGCUAUCUAUGAUGAUUAUUGUGAUGACUUGUAUGCUAUUAAAAAUAGUAAUAUCCAUGAAACUUGUCAUCAUGAUUUUAGUUUUCAAUUGGAUUAUGCCUCACAUGAUAAUUAUUUUGUUGAGUUUGCUCCCACUAUUAUUCAUGAGAAGAAUUUUACUUAUGUGGAGAGUAAUAAAAUUUCUAUGCUUGUAGAUCAUGAAAAGAAUGCUUUAGGUGCUGGUUAUAUUGUUGAAUUCAUUCAUGAUUCUACUGAAAAUUAUUAUGAGGGAGGAACAUAUGCUUGUAGGAAUUGCAAUAAUAUCAAGUGUCCUCUCUAUGUGCUUAAAAUUUUGAAGUUAUGCUUGUUUUACCUUCCUAUGCAAGUUGAUUAUUGUUCCCAUAAGUUGUUUGCUCACAAAAUCCCUAUGCAUAGGAAGUAUGUUAGACUUAAUAUGCUAUUCAUAUUCUUCAUGAUGCUCUCUUUAUGUUACAAUUCUUAUCUUUUAUGUGAGCAUCAUUGAAAUCAUCAUGCCUAGCUAGGGGCAUUAAACGAUAGCGCUUGUUGGGAGGAAACCCAAUUUUAUUUUAGUUCCUUGCUUUUUGUUCCUGUUUAGUAAGAAAUAAUUCAUCUAGACUCUUUUUAGAUGUGUUUUUAUGCUUUUAAUUAGUGUUUGUGCCAAGUAGAACCUUUGGGAAGACUUGGGGGAAGUCUGGUUGAUCAUGCUGUCAAAAACAGAAACUUUAGCACUCACGAGAAAUUGCUGCCAUUUUUAUUUGGAGAGUGCUAUGUAGUUAAUUCUGUUUUAAGAUGAUUAAUAGAUAAAUUCCUCAGGUCCAGAAAUUUAUUUGUGAAUUUUAUGAGUUCCAGAAGUAUAAGUUUGAUCCAGAUUACUACAGACUGUUCUAUUUUUGACAGAUUCUGUUUUUCAUGUGUUGUUUACUUAUUUUGAUGAAUCUAUGGCUAGUAAAAUAGUUUAUAAACCAUAGAUAAGUUUUAAUACAGUAGGUUUAACACCAAUAUAAAUAAAGAAUGAGUUCACUACAGUACCUUGAAGUGGUGAUUUAUUUUCUUAUACUAACGGAGCUUACGAGCUUUCUACUUUAAGUUUUGUGUUGUAAAGUUUUCAAGUUUUGGGUAAGGAUUCGAUGGACUAUGGAACAAGGAGUGGCAAGAUCCUAAGAUUGGGGAUUCCCAAGGCACCCCAAGGUAAUAUUCAAGGAUAACCAAGAGCCUAAGCUUGGGGGUGCCCCGGAAGGCAUCGCCUCUUUCGUCUUCGUUCAUCGGUAACUUUACUUGGAGCUAUAUUUUUAUUCGCCACAUGAUAUGUGUUUUGCUUGGAGCGUCAAUUUAUUUUGUUAGGAUUUGCUUGAUGUUAUUUAUAACAAUGUUUUGCAUCUUUUAUUUCAAUAAAAGUGGCAUUGAUAGCCUUUACUAUGCCUAUUUUAGAAGUCUACAUGUUGCUGUUUGAAAACAGAAAGUUUACCGCUGUUGGAAUAAUUCCCUAGAAAAGUCAGAAUGUGAUAAAAUGUUGAAACCUUUUGCAUAUUAAGGUCUGAUAAAUUUAUUACAUUGGGAAUUUUAUUUCAUAAUUUUUGGAUCUAGGGAAGUAUGGAUGUUGCAGCAUUCUUUGCAGACUAUCCUGUUUAGGCAGAUUGCUGUUAUGUUUGCAUUGUUUGCAUAUGUUUGCUUCUUUAAUGAUUCUAUUUGAGGAUAGGACUAUUAAAUAUGCAGAUGCAUUUAGUAUGCAAUGUUGAAUAAUAAUUUUAGUGAUUUGCUACAGUAGAGUAUGAUAAGGUUUUGGCAAUGGUUUAUACUAACUUAUCUCACGAGUCCUUGUUGAGUUUUGUGUGGAUGAAGCUUUUGAGAUUUAGGGAGACCAUGAUAUGAGAGGAAUUAAGGAGACACAAAAGCUCAAGCUUGGGGAUGCCUAAGGCACCCCAAGAUAAUAUUUCAAGAAGUAUCAAGUAUCUAAGCUUGGGGAUGCCCCGGUUGGCAUCCCACCUUUCUUCCUCAACAACUAUCGGUUAGUAUCGGUUGAUCCUAAGUUUUUGCUUCUUCACAUGAUGUUUGCUAUUCUUAGAUGUCAUUUUAUUUUGCUUUGCUUGCUGUUUGAAUAGAGUAACAAGAUCUGAAAUUAUAAAAUGUUAGAGAGUCUUCACAUAGCUAAAUAAUCAUUCAACUACUCAUUGAUCUUCACUUAUAUCUUUCGGAGUAGUUUGUCAUUUGCUCUAGUGCUUCACUUAUAUCUUUUAGAGCAUGGUGAUAGUUUUAUUUUGAAUAAAUAGAUGAACUCUCAUGCUUCACUUAGAUUAGUUUGAGAGUCUUAAAUAGCAUGGUAAUGUGCUUAAAAAUCCUAAUAUGCUAGGUAUUCAAGAAUAAUAAAAUUCUCUUAUGAGUGUGUUGAAUACUAAGAGAAGUUUGAUGCUUGAUGAUUGUUUUGAGAUAUGGAGAUGGUGAUAUUAGAGUCAUGCUAGUUGAGUAGUUGUGAAUUUGAGAAAUACUUGUGUUGAAGUUUGUGAUUCCCGUAGCAUGCACGUAUGGUGAACCGUUAUGUGACGAAGUCGGAGCAUGAUUUAUUUAUUGAUUGUCUUCCUUAUGAGUGGCGGUCGGGGAUGAGCGAUGGUCUUUUCCUACCAAUCUAUCCCCCUAGGAGCAUGCGCAUAAUACUUUGUUUCGAUAACUAAUAGAUUUUUGAAAUAAGUAUGUGAGUUCUUUGUGACUAAUGUUGAGUCCAUGGAUUAUACGCACUCUCCCCCUUCCACCUUUGCUAGCCUCUCUAGUACCGCGCAACUUUCACCGGUACCAUAAACCCACCAUAUACCUUCCUCAAAACAGCCACCAUACCUACCUAUUAUGGCAUUUCCAUAGCCAUUCCGAGAUAUAUUGCCAUGCAACUUUCCACCAUUCCGCUUAUUAUGACACACUCCAUCAUUGUCAUAUUGCUUAGCAUGAUCAUGUAGUUGACAUUGUAUUUGUGGCAAAGCCACCGUUCAUAAUUCUUUCAUACUUGUCACUCUUGGUUCAUUGCAUAUCCUGGUACACCGCAGGAGGCAUUCAUAUAGAGUCAUACUUUGUUCUAGUAUCGAGUUGUAAUCAUUGAGUUGUAAAUAAAUAAAAGUGUGAUGAUCAUCAUUUAAUAGAGCAUUGUCCCAAAUAAAAAAAAGAGAAAGGCCAAAUAAAAAAAGAAAGGCCCAAAAAAGGGGCAAUGCUACUAUCCUUUUUCCACACUUGUGCUUCAAAGUAGCACCAUGAUAUAGCGAGUCUCAUAUAUUAUGCUUCAAAGUAGCACCAUGUUCUUCAUAUAGAGAGUCUCAUAUGUUGUCACUUUCAUAUACUAGUGGAAAUUUUACGUUAUAGAACUUGGCUUGUAUAUUCCAAUGAUGGGCUUCCUCAAAUUGCCCUAGGUCUUCGUGAGAAAGCAAGUUGGAUGCACACCCACUAGUUUCUUUUGUUGAGCUUUCAUAUACUUAUAGCUCUAGUGCAUCCAUUGCAUGGCAAUCCCUACUCACUCACAUUGACAUCUAUUGAUGGGCAUCUCCAUAGCCCGUUGAUACGCCUAGUCAAUGUGAGACUAUCUUCUCCCUCUUUGUCUUCUCCACAACCACCAUUCUAUUCCACCUAUAGUGCUAUAUCCAUGGCUCAUGCUCAUGUAUUGCGUGAAGAUUGAAAAAGUUUGAGAAUAUCAAAAGUAUGAAACAAUUGCUUGGCUUGUCAUCGGGGUUGUGCAUGAUUUAAAUAUGUUGUGUGGUGAAGAUGGAGCAUAGCCAGACUAUAUGAUUUUGUAGGGAUAGCUUUCUUUGGCCAUGUUAUUUUGAGAAGACAUAAUUGCUUAGUUAGUAUGCUUGAAGUAUUAUUGUUUUCAUGUCAAUAUUAAACUUUUGUCUUGAAUCUUAUGGAUCUGAACAUUCAUGCCAUAAUUAAGAAGAAUUACAUUGAAAUUAUGCCAAGUAGCAUUCCACAUCAAAAAUUAUCUUUUUUAUCAUUUACCUACUCGAGGACGAGCAGGAAUUAAGCUUGGGGAUGCUUGAUACGUCUCCAACGUAUCUAUAAUUUUUGAUUGCUCCAUGCUAUAUUAUCUACUGCUUUGGGCAAUAUUGGGCUUUAUUAUCCACUUCUAUAUUAUUUUUGGGACUAACCUAUUAACCGGAGGCCCAGCCCAGAUUUCCUGUUUUAUGCCUAUUUCAGUGUUUCAAGGAAAAGGAAUAUCAGACGGAGUCGAAACAGAACGAAAUCAACUAGAGAAGUUAUUUUUGGAACGAAAGCCACCCGAUGGAGUUGGACCCCACGUCAAGGAAGGAAUGAGGUGCUCACGAGGGUGGGGGCGCCCCCCCCCCCCCUAGGGCGUGCCCCCUGUCUUGUGGGGUCCUCGUGGCUCCCCUAACGUACCUCCUGCACCCAUAUAUACCUACGUGACCUAAAACUUCCAUAACGCAACAUAGAUCGAGAGUUCCGCCGCCAGAAGCCUCCAUAGCCACCAACAGUCAAUCGGGACCCUGUUCUGGCGCCCUGCCGGAGGGGGGAACCCUCACCGGUGGCCAUCUUCAUCAUCUCGGUGCUCUCCAUGACGAGGAGGGAGUAGUUCUCCCUCGGGGCUGAGGGUAUGUACCAGUAGCUAUGUGUUUGAUCUCUCUCUCUCGUGUUCUUGAUUUGGCACGAUCUUGAUGUAUCGCGAGCUUUGCUAUUAUAGUUGGAUCUUAUGUUUCUCCUCCCCCUCUUCUCUCUUGUAAUGAAUUGAGUUUCCCCUUUGAAGUAAUCUUAUCGGAUUGAGUCUUUAAAGACUUGAGAACACUUGAUGUAUGUCUUGCCAUGGAUAUCUGUGGUGACAAUGGGAUACCACGUGCCACUUGAUGUAUGUUGAGGUGAUCAACUUGCGGGUUUCAUGACAUUGGGAACCUAUGCAUAGGGGUUGGCACACGUUUUCAUCGUGAUUCUCCGGUAGAACUUUGGGGCACUCUGUGAGGUUCUAUGUGUUGGUUGAAUAGAUGAAUCUGAGAUUGUGUGAUGCAUAUCGUAUAAUCAUACCCACGGAUACUUGAGGUGACAUUGGAGUAUCUAGGUGACAUUAGGGUUUUGGUUGAUUUGUGUCUUAAGGUGUUAUUCUAGUAUGAACUCUAGGGCUGUUUGUGACACUUAUAGGAAUAGCCAACGGAUUGAUUGGAAAGAAUAACUUUGAGGUGGUUUCGUACCCUACCAUAAUCUCUUCGUUCGUUCUCCGCUAUUAGUGACUUUGGAGUGACUCUUUGUUGCAUGUUGAGGGAUAGUUAUGUGAUCCAAUUAUGUUAGUAUUGUUGAGGGAACUUACACUAGCGAAAGUAUGAACCCUAGGCCCUAUUUCCUAUCAUUGUAAUACCGUUUACGCUCACUUUUAUCACUUGCUACCUUGCUAUUUUUAUAUUUUCAUAUUACAAAAAGUAUUAUCUACUAUACUUAUUCCACUUGUAUCACCAUCUCUUCGCCGAACUAGUGCACCUAUACAAUUUACCAUUGUAUUGGCUGUGUUGGGGACACAAGAGACUCUUUGUUAUUUGGUUGCAGGGUUGCUUGAGAGAGACCAUCUUCAUCCUACACCUCCCACGGAUUGAUAAACCUUAGGUCAUCCACUUGAGGGAAAUUUGCUACUGUCCUACAAACCUCUACACUUGGAGACCCAACAACGUCUACAAGAAGAAGGUUGUGUAGUAGACAUCACAGCUCUGAAAGAAAUUUCAACGGAGCUGAACAGUUUGAAGGGCCGGGUGUCUCAGAUGGUUGCUCCUAUCUUUGGUAAGAUGCCUGAGUUGACCUUUUGUAUAAUUUUUGCCAAACCGGAAUAUGAUCCGCCAACUUACUCUGUUAAAAAUAUAUGCAGGUCCGCGAAGUAAAAAUCUGAGCCAAGACCCAUUGAUUAAACUGAAGGCAGUAUACACCUUGGUUGAACAAUUGUACAUUGGUGCACAACGGGCUCUGGCCGCUAUCUCUCCUACCAAUCAAGGACCCAACCGGCUUAGCGAUGUCCUUAAGAAGCUUUCCAUCCUUCCUGCUAGAUUCCAAGAAGUAAAACGCUCCUGCGCGCGAGCCGGAGCUUUGACUACCCUAAGCCGCUCCAAGGCUUGGGUGCCAGACCUAGACCCGGCGGACGUAGCCAGAGGUUACCCUACUUUGAAGGAGGACGGGUCUCCAUUUGAUCAGGAUGAUUUCAUAGCGUGUGUACGUCAAGUCCGGCCUCAGGCGACUAGUCUUGGAGAUGACACCAAUGUUGACAGGUACCAGCCGGGUUUUGAUAGUGAAAAUAAGAAGAUGGCCACUCCUUCAUACAAAGUAGCAGAUCUGAUCCCACCUGUGAGAGAAGAUACCUUUGCCCUGGAAAUUGACCCGGUCGGCCUGAUUGACGACGAAGCCGAAUUUUUCGCCAUGAACGGCUUUGAUUGGUCAAAAUCCAACUUUUAGCAAACAGAAGGUGGUGAACCGGCGAGGGAUGGACGAUGAUCAUCUUCAUAGGCUUAUAAAGCCUCGUAAUAACUGUAGUUGCUAAAACACCGCAUGUUUGCUUAUGUUGUCAUGCAUAAAAAUACUUCUAUGUGAAUCUGCUUCCAGAUGUCAAUGUAUGCAUCAUUUAAUGUUUGUCUCUGCGAUAUUUGAACUCUGUUUCUGUGAAUACAAGAAAAAUACUGGCAAGGCGGUUUAGAACCAAAUGGGCUUAGACACCCUAAUUCACAGCCAAUAUAUUUACCUCAAUAAAGAACAGAGACAAAUAUAAAGAAAGGAUAAGGGUUAAUACGAAUUUUUGAGCUAACGCGGCGGGUAAGCGGGCAUAAGUAAAAAUCAUACCUUGUCCUUGUUGAUCCUUAGAUCGUCGGGUUUAAUAAUCCGGGUGGUGAACUUGAUAAUUCAAUAUGUAUGAAACGUUAAUACAUCUUGAAUACUCAAUGAUCAUCAUAUCUUAGUAGCUCGUGCCUUUGGAUCCUUGAGCCACCGGCUUGAAUAACCCGGGCGGCUAUGUUGUUCAAUAAUUGAGCCGGGGAAGAAAACCAGGCUAUCUUAUUUGUAAUAUUGAAACAACAAAAGCUAAAAGGCAAGCAACAGAUAAUAAACAUAAUUUUAACUAUGUAUUCAAAAGGCUGGGGGUUUCUGAUUCGAAUACGAUCAGUAAACCGGACCAAAGGGGUUAAGCUAAGGUUCGAAUACGACCAUAUAGCCCCCAGUGGCUUUGGCGUUGCACCGAUCAAGAGGGUACCGACAGCUAUGUUCUCUUUGGUUCGAAUACGGCCUAUGUUUGAACAGGAAGCCCCCAAAUGACCUUGAGAGGUUUUUAACGACCCUGAUUCGAAUACGAUCCAAGUCGGACUCAAAAGGGGUUAAGCUAUGAUUCGGAUACGAUCAAGAAGCCCCAAGUGAGUUUGGCCUUGAGCCGAUCAAGAGGGUUACGACAGCUAUGUUCUAUUUGGUUCGAAUAUGACCUAUGUUUGAACAGGAAGCCCCCAAGUGACCUUGAGAUUUGCAGCUAGAUUCGGAUACGAUCAUAAGCCGGACCAAAAAGGUUAAACUUGAUUCAAAUAUGAUCAGCUCCUUAAUAGUCAUUUGUUAGUAAGAAAUAAUAAAGAUGUAUGAUCUGUGAAAAGAAAAGAGACCGAUGGUCUUACUUUAUUGCUUAUCAUAGUAUAUACAACGUGAACGUAUGUACAUGUUGAGAGCCGGUGGCUCAGGUGUAAUAUGGCCGAAGUUGAGCAAUGUUCCAUGGCCGGCGGGUCUCCUCUUCCGACUUACGUGAGUCUGCAUGCUCUCGAACGUCAAUGAGGUAGUAUGACCCAUUGUUUAAAUUUUUACUGACCACAAAAGGUCCUUCCCAAGGUGGGGAUAACUUGUGUGCAUCUGAAAGAUCUUGGAUGAGCCGGAGCACUAAGUCGCCUUCCUGAAAAGUCCUGGUCUUGACCCGGCGGCUGUGAUAACGACAUAGGUCCUGCUGAUAAAUUGUUGACCGCGCCGCUGCUAAGUCUCUUUCUUCAUCCAAUAUGUCAAGCGCAUCCUGGCUGGCUUUUUCAUUGUUAGCUUCAACAUAAGCCGCCACACGGGGCGAGUCAUGACGGAUGUCACUAGGCAACACUGCUUCUGCUCCAUAAAUCAUGAAGAAGGGUGUGUAACCCGUCGACCUGUUGGGCAUAGUAUUGAUGCUCCAUAACACUGAGGGUAACUCCUCUACUCAACAACCCGGUGUUCGCUGUAAAGGAACCAUAAUCCGGGGUUUUAGCCCUUUCAGAAUUUCCUGAUUGGCUCUCUCAGCUUGACCAUUGGAUUGAGGAUGAGCUACAGAAGAAACAUCAAGGCAGAUGUGCUCUCGCUGGCAAAACUCUUCCAUAGCCCCAUGAGACAGAUUAGUGCCAUUGUCUGUGAUAAUACUGUGUGGAAACCCGAAAUGGAAGAUUACUUUUUUCAUGAACUGAACCGCCGUGGCUGCAUCACACUUACUCACAGGCUCUGCCUCAACCCACUUAGUAAACUUAUCAACUGCCACUAAGAGAUGUGCCUUUUUAUCCUUAGACCUUUUGAAAGGUCCCACCAUGUCAAGCCCCCAAACCGCAAACGGCCAAGUGAUUGGAAUCAUCCGGAGCUCUUGAGCCGGCACAUGCGCUCGUCGUGCAAAUUUUUGACAUCCAUCACAUCUAUUGACCAGAUCUUCUGCAUCAGCGUGAGCCGUCAACCAGUAAAAACUGUGACAAAACGCCUUGGCCACUAAAGAUUUUGACCCGGCGUGAUGACCGCAAUCGCCUUCGUGGAUCUCACGAAGGAUUUCUUGACCUUCUUCGGGGGAAACACAUCGUUGAAACGCUCCAGAAACACUAUGAUGAAAUAACUCUCCAUCCGAAAUCGUCAUGGACUUAGGUCGCCGGGUUAUCUGCCGAGCCAAGGUCUCAUCUGCUGGCAACUCUCCCCGGGUCAUGUAAGCCAAGAACGGCACCGUCCAAUCUGGGAUGUCAUGAAGAGCCGCUACCAACUGUGCCUCCGGGUCAGGAACAGCUAAAUCUUCUUCUGUGGGCAACUUGACAGAGGGGUUAUGCAAAACAUCCAAAAAGGUGUUGGGUGGCACCGGCUUACGCUGAGACCCUAGCCGGCUUAAAGCAUCAGCCGCUUCAUUCUUUCGACGGUCAAUGUGUUCCACCUGAUAACCUUUAAAAUAUCCUGCAACAGCAUCGACCUCUCGGCGAUAAGCCACCAUGAGAUGGUCUUUGGAAUUCCACUUGCCAGAUACAUGUUGAGCCACUAGAUCUGAGUCACCAAGACAUCUGACCCGGCUCAAGCUCAUCUCCUUUGCCACUCGCAGACCAUGGAGCAAGGCUUCAUACUCUGCUGCGUUGUUAGUGCAUGGAAACAUCAACCGUAACACAUAACAAAAUUUAUCACCUCAUGGCGAAGUUAAUACGACUCCAGCUCCCGAGCCUUCCAAUUGCCUGGAUCCAUCAAAAUGAAGUCCGUCUUCUCUUCCGGCAUCUGCAUCUCUGUCCAGUCAUUGAUGAAGUCAACCAGGGCUUGAGACUUAAUUGCAGUACGUGGAACAUACUUCAACCCAUGAGAUCCAAGCUCAAUUGCCCACUUGGCGACUCGCCCCGUGGCUUCUCUGUUUUGAAUAAUAUCUCCCAAAGGAGCAGAGCUAACCACAGUGAUUGGAUGUCACUGAAAUUAAUCCUUAAGCUUCCGGCUUGCCAUGAAUACCCCAUAAACAAGCUUCUGCCAAUGUGGAUAUCGUUGCUUAGACUCAAUUAGCACUUCACUGACAUAAUAAACCGACCGCUGAACCGGAUGCUCUUUGCCAGCCUCCUUGCGCUCUACCACCAAAGCCACACUAACCACCCAUGAGUUGGCAGCUACGUAUAACAAUAGCGGCUCUUUUUCAAUUGGAGCAGCCAGGACCGGCGGCUCAGCCAGUUGUGCCUUCAGAUCCUCAAAAGCAGCGUUUGCAGCAUCGCUCCAAAUAAAAACAUCUGUUUUCUUCAUCAACUGAUACAGAGGCAUAGCCUUUUCCCCUAACCGGCUUAUGAACCGGCUCAAAGCAGCCACAUGACCCGCCAGUUGCUGAACAUCAUUGACGCAGAUUGGUUUGGCUAGAGAUGUAAUUGCCUUGAUUUUUUUCCGGGUUAGCUUCAAUACCUCGGUUAGACACCAAAAAACCCAAGAGCUUGCCAGCUGGCACCCCAAAAACACACUUGGCCGGGUUAAGCAUCAUCUUGUAAACCCGAAGAUUAUCAAAAGUCUCUUUCAGGUCUGUGACCAAGGUUUCCUCUUCCCUGGAUUUCACCACUAUAUCAUCCACAUAGGCAUGAACAUUGUGCCCAAUUUGAUCGUGAAGACAAUUCUGCACACACCGCUGGUAAGUCGCCUGGGCACUCUUAAGCCCAAAAGGCAUAGACACAUAGCAGAAACCCCAAAAGGAGUUAUAAAAGUUGUUUUCUCUUGAUCCUUGACUGCCAUCUUAAUCUGAUGAUAACCGGAAUAAGCAUCUAAGAAACUCAACCGUGCGCAACCCGCCGUAGCAUCAAUGAUCUGAUCAAUACGGAGGAGAGCAAAAGGAUCAGUCGGACAAGCCUUGUUCAAAUCUGUGUAAUCCACACACAUACAUCAGGUGCCAUUCUUUUUUAGUACAAGCACCGGGUUAGCUAACCAUUCUGGGUGAAAGACCUCCACAGUGAACCCGGCUGCUAAGAGCCAGGCCACGUCUUCUCCGAUGGCCUUGCGCCUUUCUUCAUUGAACCGCCGGAGAAACUGUCUGACAGGUUUGAACUUCCGAUUGAUAUUAAGAGUAUGCUCAGCGAGUUCCCUUGGGACACCCGGCAUGUCUGAAGGUUUCCAUGCAAAAAUAUCCCGAUUCUCAUGGAUGAACUCGAUGAGCGCGCUUUCCUAUUUUGGAUCCAAGUUUGCGCUGAUGAUGAACUGUUUAGAUGAAUCGCCAGGCACAAAGUCAACCAUCUUAGUGUCAUCAGCUGAUUUGAAUUUUAACUCUGGCUCAUGCUCUGUUCUUGGUUUCUUUAAUGACGGCAUGUCCGCCGGGUCAACAUGAUCCUUGUAGAAUUUCAACUCCUCUGUUGCACAAACAGAUUCAGCAUAGGCUGCAUCACCUUCUUCACAUUCCAAGGCUAUCUUCCGGCUCCCAUGGACUGUAAUGGUGCCCUUGUGACCCGGCAUCUUGAGCUACAAAUAUACGUAACACGGCCGAGCCAUGAACUUGGCAUAAGCCGGCCGCCCAAACAGAGCAUGAUAUGGGCUUUUGAUCUUAACCACUUCAAAGGUUAAUUUUUCUGCUCUGGAGUCAUACCCAUCCCCAAAGGCUACUUCCAGCUCGAUCUUACCAACUGGGUAUGCCGACUUACCAGGUACCACACCAUGAAAAAUAGUGUUGGAUUGUUUAAGAUUUUUAUCCGUCAAUCCCAUCCGGCGGAACGUCUCAUAGUAGAGGAUGUUGAUGCUACUGCCUCCAUCCAUGAGCACCUUAGUAAACUUGUACCCACCAACUUGAGGUGCUACCACCAAAGCCAAGUGACCCAGAUUAUCAACCCGGGGCGGGUGAUCCUCUCUGCUCCACACAAUAGGCUGCUCCGACCAACGUAAAUAACGUGGAAUUGCUGGCUCAACGACAUUGAUGGCCCUCUUGUGGAGUUUCUGGUCCCUCUUGCAUAAACUGGUAGUAAAGACAUGAUAUUGUCCGCUACUCAACUGCUUCGGGUUGCUUUGAUAGCCGGAUUGCUGCUGCUGAUUCCCUUGGCCGUAUUGCUGAUUAUAUCCUCAUUGGUGACCAGGAUAACCCUGACCGUGAAAACCUCCUCCACUUGAACCAGCGCCUGGGCCCUGAAAGCCGCCUCCACCUGAGCCGCCGCCUGGGCCGUGACCCCCAUCAAAUGCAUUUGAAUUUUUAAAUGCCUUCAUGAUCGUGCAAUCCUUCCACAAGUGGGUGGCUGGUUUCUCCCGGGUGUCGUGUUUUGGACAAGGUUCAUUCAAUAAUUGCUCAAGGGUGGGGCCUGACCCGCCCGAUCGAGGGGGUUGCCUGCCCUUGCGCCGCUGAUUACCACCCUGCGCAUUAGUAUUAGCAACAAACUCAUCAGCCUUACGUUUAUUACCUCCUUGAUUCGCCGGGUUAUGCUGGUGACCCUUGCCAUUGUCGUUCUUCUUUCCCUUCGUUGCCUUUUCUUCAUCAGACACCGGGUCCUUGGUGGUAUCAGAAUCGGCAUACUUGACAAGAGCUGCCAUCAACGUCCCCAUGUCAUUAUAGUCACGUUUAAGCCGCCCCAACUUCUGCUUCAGAGGUUCAAAGCGGCAAUUUUUCUCCAACAUCAAAACUGCUGAGCCGGCAUCCAUCUUAUCAGAUGAAUGUAUUAUCUCCUUGACCCGGUGCACCCAAUGGGUUGUAGAUUAUCCAUCCUCUUACUUGCAAUUGGUCAGGUCCAUAAUCGACAUUGGUUGCUUACACGUGUCCUUAAAGUUCUGGAUGAACCGUGCUUUCAACUCUGCCCAUGAGCCGAUAGAAUUGGGUGGCAAUCCCUUCAACUAGGUCCGAGCCGUUCCAUCCAACAUCAUGGUAAAAUACUUGGUCAUUGCAGCAUCGCUAACCUCCAACAGCUCCAUAGCCAUCUCAUAACUCUCAAUCCAAGCCCUCGGCUGUAGGUCAGCCGUGUAAUUAGGCACCUUACGAGGCCCCUUGAAAUCCUUGGGCAACCGCUCAUUGCGUAUGGCUGGGACCAGGAAAGGUACGCCUCCGGUUCUUGUGGCCACUCCUGCCUCAACCGAGGUUGCUAGAUAAGCCGGAAAGGUUUGGUGAGCCGCCUGCUCUGCUGCUAUCUGAGCCGCCCGUUCCGCCUCUUGACGAAUCCUCUCCCGAUCCGCCAAGUUAAGGGCUCCAGCCCGCACCGGCUCAUGCCUAUAUGGCCGGUUGUGGCAUUGAGCAUUACUUGACAUCUCUGCAGACUCCAUGUGCCUACUGUAACUCGGGCUUCGGCUUGGGAGAGGAGUUGAAUGAAUCAUGUCUCGACUGUAGGAGUAUGCAUCCUGUUGGGCCAAAGCUGUCUGAAGUAGCUCUCUUACCCUCCGGGUUUUAAUUGUUGCUGGUGAGUCGCCUUCCAUUGGGAGAGUUGCCAAACGAGUCGACGUUGCGAUGAGAUUCUCCAUAGGGUUGGAGAAGUGACCCAGAGGUGUUGAUACAUGACGAGGAGGAGUUGUAUUCAUGCGAGGCGGCUCCAUGGUACGUGGCUGAACUGGUGCACCGGGUGUCGUGACCCGGUUUGCCUCCAGCGGGUUGCUCCCCCUAGUUCCGGGUGUAUGGAACAGGUUCCUUGGAUCCAAUGUUAGAGGCAGACGCGACUGAGUUUUCUGAUGCCUCCUCCUCAUGACCUCGUUUGACGCAUUAAGAUCCACCGAGAGCCGGAAAGUUUCUGCUUGAAGCUGCUGAGCACGAGCAUCCAGAGCUGCUCGUUCUGCUACCAUCCCGGUUUCCUCCGCGGCUAGAUUUUCUUUAGCUUGCACCAUCUCCUCCCGCACGCGUGCCACUUCUGCAUCGUGCUGGGCUUUAUCCGCCGGUUCUACCACAGCGGUUAACAGAGUCGUUAGUUUAUCCAUGAGGUCCAUUAGAACCUGAGCCGGGGGCGCGCGGGGUCUCCUGACCCGGCUGCUACCGACCCGGUAGCUGCUGCUGCCGCUGUGGUGGAGUUCUGCCCGGGCUGCGUCCCCGCCAUGAAGACUCCGGCCCAAUUUGGCGGCUCAAGGGGGUCCGGAAUACUGCUGCCAUCGGAACAGCCCCCGAGCAUGUCAUCUUGCAGCUGGUACAACGAGUCCGUCUCACCUGUUGAUGAUGCAGUAUCAGAGCAGACGGCUGUCUCCCCGCCUUCCAUCGAUCCUUCGGAGUAUUCACCGCCAUGGAUGCAGCCUACGAAGGCAUGUUUCAUGACAGAUUGAACACGGGCGGACCCGGCGUGCUGAGCCGUUUCGAUGAGGUUGGUGUGGACGUCCAGCUCAGGGCCUGAUUUGCCGAUCCGGCCGAUGAAGACGUGAAUUCCGUCGAAGGGGACCUGGUACCCGUACUCAAUCGAGUCAGCCUCGGGGCCCCAGCCUUCGUCAUCGAUGUAGAGUUUGCCGUGACGACUCUUGGUCAUCCGGCCCACAGCUAUCCCUUGAGCCCUUCGAAGUUUCCCUUCAAGAACUCAAAUCCGCCGUGCGCUGGCCCCACGGUGGGCGCCAACUGUCAUAGAGUUGACACGGCAGAUGUCCUAGAGCAAGGACUUAGUUGUAGGGCCAUCGCACAAGGAAGCUUAAAGGGGUUGAUUGGGGCAAAGGACACACGAGAGAGUUUUUAUACUAGUUCGGCCCCUUACGAUGAAGGUAAAAGCCUACGUCUAGUUGGGAUUGGUAUUGCUGAGGUUUCGAUCUCCAAGAGGCUCAACUCACUGGCUUGGUUAUCGACUUGGUUGUUUCUUUUCUAAACCACCACCGGGUCGUCCCCUUAUAUACACGGGUUGACGUCUGGUGGCCUACAGAGUCUCGGCCGGCUCAUAAUCGUGUCUGGCUCGGUGACUUCCCUUAUAUGCCUUUCUUUACAAGUCUUUCCUUACAUACAGCGGUUUACAAUGUCAGGCCUUAAGCCGGCCCCAGGCCUUUGGGCCUUCUAUACAUUUAGUAAACUAUCAUCUUGAAUGUUUAUCGGGCUUCUUGUGUGACCCGCCAUUAGGGCUCACCCGGCCCCUCCUGAGCGGGUCAUACUGGUAGUAAUAUCCCCAGCAGGUCUAGUAAAGUAGUCAGUUGCUUAGGGACAAUUUCGCAACUCCUACCACCACUUUUCCACACUCGCUAUACUAACUUUAUUGCUUCUUUACCUAAAACAGCCCCUAGUUUUUAUUUAUGCGCUCUUUAUUAUCUUGCAAACCUAUCCAAAAACACCUACAAAGUACUUCUAGUUUCAUACUUGUUCUAGGUAAAGCGAACAUUAAGCGUGCGUAGAGUUUUUUUUUGACAGAAAGACUGUAAGGAAACCCCCUACAGUAUAAUUGUUGCAAUAAACCCAAAUUGCAAGUACCAUGCAUUGAACCUGGGUGGGUGGGAAGGCAUCAACCCCUUCCCACCACUAGGCUAUGCCUUAGUCUGCGUGCGUAGAGUUGUAUCGGUGGUCGAUAGAACUUGAGGGAAUAUUUGUUCUACCUUUAGCUCCUCAUUGGGUUCGACACUCUUACUUACCGAAAGAGGCUACAAUUGAUCCCCUAUACUUGUGGGUUAUCACCUAGCUAAAAGGCAUUAAAGAAAAGCGCUUGUCGGGAGACAACCCAAUAUUUACCCUUAUUGUUUUUGUGUGUUAUCAUGAUUAAGCUAUUGUAGUAAUCAUGUAUUAUAGCUUUUUUCAAUAAAGUGCCAAGUAAGACCUUUGGGAAGACUUGGGUGAAAGUUAAUGUGAUCUUGCUAUAAAAAAACAGAAACUUUGCGCUCACGAGAUUAGCUGUCAUUUUUUACAGAAGAGUGCGAUUGAGUUGAUUCUUUUUCAGAAGAUUAUUAGACAAAUUCCUCACGUCCACCAAUUUAUUUUAUAAUUUUUGGAGUAGCAUAAGUAUGGUUGGUGUUCAGAUCAUUACAUAUUGUACUGUUUCUGACAGAUUCUGUUUUCAUUGCAUAGUUUGCUUGUUUUCUAGUUUCUAUGGCUUAUAUUUCUCAAUAUAAAUUGUAGAAAUGAUAUGGUACAGUAGGAAUUGUGUGAGAAAAAUUAUGAACCUUGUCUUCGAUAGUACCAAAGUGAAUGGUUUACUCUUUAUCAUACUAACCUAUCUCACGAAGUUCCGUUAAGUUUUGUGUGAUUGAAGUUUUCAAGCUUUGGGUGAGAUAUCUAUAUGAGGAGAAUAAGGAGUGGAAAGACCCUAAGCAUGGGGAUGCCCAAGGCACCCCAAGGUAAUAUUCAAGGAAGACUCAAGCGCCUAAGCUUGGGGAUGCCCCGGAAGGCAUCCCCUCUUUCGUCUUCAAAACUAUCGGUAUACCUUACUCGGGGCUAUAUUUUUAUUCGUCACAUGAUAUGUGUUUUUCUUGGAGCGUAUUUUCAAUUUUACUUGCUAUUUGAAUAAAAUCUUUGGAUCUGAAAUCUUGAAUGAAAAAGAAUCCUCCCAUGGUUAUUUAAUUAUUUGACUACUCAGUAUUCUUCACUUAUAUCUUUUUGGAGUAGUUUGUCAUUUACUUGUGUGCUUCACAUAUAUCCUAUCAGUAAAUGGUUGAAUGAAUUGAAUAUCAUAAAUCUGAAUUUAUAUAUGUUUCAUAUGCUUACAACAUGGGAGUAAUGACUUCACACAUAAUAAGUAUAAGUAGUAAACUUAUUGGAAGUUAGCAAACGCAGAAUUGGUCACUUGAACAAUUCAUGAAAGAAUAUUGAAGGAAGAGAGAUUUCACAUAUAAAUAUACUAUCUUUGACAUCUUUUGCAAUUGUGAGCACUCAUUAAAAUGUGACAUGCUAAAAGGUUGAUGUUGGACAAGGAAGACAACUUAAUGGGUUAUGUUUUCCUAUAUCCGAAACGUUAUAUUGUCUUGGAUCAUCCAACAUGUUGAGCUUGCCUUUCCCUCUCAUGCUAGCCAAAUUCUUUGCACUAAGUAGAGAUACUACUUGUGCUUCCAAACAUUCCUUAAACCAGUUUUGUCAUGAGAGUCCACCAUACCUACCUAUGGAUUGAGUAAGAUCCUUCAAGUAAGUUGUCAUCAUUGCAAGCAAUAAAAGUUGCUCUCUAAAUAUGUAUGAUUUAUUAGUGUGGAGAAAAUAAGCUUUAUACGUUCCUGUGAUGUGGAAGAAAUAGAAGCGACAGACUGCAUAAUAAAGGUACAUAUCACAAGUGGCAAUAUAAAUUGACGUUCUUUUGCAUUAAGAUUUUGUGCAUUCAACCAUAAAAGUGCAUGACAACCUCUGCUUCCCUCUGCGAAGGGCCUAUCUUUUACUUUUACCUUCUAUAGUUUAUACAAGAGUCAUGGUGAUCAUUACCUUUCCUUUUUCCACUUUUUUCCUUUGGCAAGCACUUUGUGUUGGAGCGAUCCGGAUAUAUAUAUCCACUUGGAUAUAGGUUUUCAUAAAUUAUUAUUGUUGACAUUACCCUUGAGCUAAAAGGUUGGGAGGCGAAACUUUAAGCCCCUAUCUUUCUUUGUGUCCAAUUAAAACUUUGAACCCAUAAAUAUCAAGUGAGUGUUAGCAAUUGUGAAAGAUUAAAUGAUAGUUGAGUAUGUGGAGUUUGCUGAACCAAAGCUCUUACAUAGACCCUUCCUGAAAAUAAGAUGAAUUGCAAUUGUUUGAUGACUAAGAGCAUGGUUUGUUAGUUUUCAAAAAAGUUUAUGAUCUAUACUUUAACAUGUGAAUAGCUUGUUACUUGAUCAUGAUAAGUUUUAUGAGUUGAGCUACUGUUAUGAUAUAUAAUGAUGCUAGAAAAAUUGAUUGGAACUAUCAUUGAUCAAACUCAUGCACUUGCUAGCAUUCAUACUUCAUAAAUUGUUUCUUUUAUCAUUUACCUACUCGAGGACGAGUAGGAAUUAAGCUUGGCGAUGCUGAUACGUCUCUAGCGUAUCUAUAAUUUAUGAAGUAUUCAUGCCAUGUUCAUAAUAGUUUUAUAUGAUUUUGGUAUGAUUUGAAUAGAACUAACCCGGACUGACGCUGUUUUUAGCAGAACUACCAUGGUGUUGUUUUUGUGCAGAAAUAAAAGUUCUCAGAAUGCGAUGAAAAUCAACGGAGAAUUUUCUGGAAAAUAUAAGAAAUACUGGAACAAAAAUCUAUCGGGGAAGAGACCCGUGGGACCCACGAGGGUGGGGGCGCGCCCACCCCCUCCCCCUCCCUCUAGGCGCGCCCCUGUGCCUCGUGGACUUCCCGUGGUGCCCCUGACUUGUUCUCGACGGCAACCUCUCCUAUAAAUGGCCAAACCUCCAGAAAAUAACCUAGAUUGGAAGUUCUGCCGCCGCAAACCUCUGUAGCCACGAGAAAUAAAUCUAGGGCCUCUCUGGCACCCUGCCAGAGGGGGCCAUCAUCACCAGAGGGCAUGGAGGAGGAUCCCGGAGGGGCCAUCAUCACCAUGAAGGCCAAGGACCAGAGGGGGAACCUCUCCCCAUCCAGGGGGGAGGCCGUGGAGGAGGAAGCACAAGGGGGAGAACCUCUCUCUCUCUCUCUCUCUCUCUCUCGGUGGCAUCAAAGUGCCAUCGGGAGAGGAAUCAUCGCCGCGGUGAUCGUCUUCAUCAACAUAACCAUCAUCAUCACCAUCCUCAUCUCUUUUAUGUGGUCCACUCUCUCGUACCCCGUUGUAAUCCCUACUUGAACAUGGUGCUUUAUGCCACAUAUUAUGAUCCAAUGAUGUGUUGCCAUCCUAUGAUGUUUUGAGUAGAUAUCCUUUGUCUUUGGGUUGAUUGAUGAUCUAGAUUGGUACGAGUUGUAUGUUUUAUUUUGGUGUUGUUCUAUUGUGCCCUCCGUGUCGCGCAAGAGUGAGGGAUUCCCGUUGUAGGGUGUUGCAAUACGUUCAUGAUUCGCUUAUAGUGGGUUGCUUGAGUGAUAGAAGCAUAAACCUGAGUAAGGGGGUUGUUGCAUAUGGGAUAAAGGGGACUUGAUGCUUUAAUGCUAUGGUUGGGUUUUACCUUAAUGAUCUUUAGUAGUUGCGGAUGCUUGCUAGAGUUCCAAUCAUAAGUGCAUAAGAUCCAAGAAGAGAAAGUAUGUUAGCUUAUGCCUCUCCCUCAUAUGAAAUUGCAAUGAUGACUAUCGGUCUUGUUAACAAUUGCCUAAGACAAUCCCGCACAUUGAUCCACCAUUAUUCCACACUCGCUAUUUAUAAUAUUUAGUAAUAUAUUCUAACUUUAUGAUAACAACACCUACUUUUAUAUUUUAUCUCUCCGAUACCAUGCAAAGUUAUCCUCUUCAUACCCACAACGUAGUUUUAUUUCUCGUUUCUAGUUGGAAACAAACGUUCGGUGUACGUAGAGUCGUAUCAGUGGCAGAUAGGUCUUGAGAGAAUAUUGAUCUUACCUUUAGCUCCUUGUGGGUUCGACACUCCAUACUUAUCACUUCCACCAUUGGGAAUUGCUACGAUGAUUCCCUACACUUGGGGAUUAUCAAUGAUCGGGUGUGAUAAGCUCUACGUUCACAUACAACGGGUGCAAGCCAGUUUUGCACAAGCAGAAUACUCGGGUUAAACAUGACAAGCCUAGCAUAUGCAGAUAUGGCCUCGAACACUGAGACCGAAAGGUCGAGCGUGAAUCAUAUAGAAGAUAUGAUCAACAUAGUGAUGUUCACCAUUGAAAACUACUCCAUCUCACAUGAUGAUCGGACAUGGUUUUGUUGAUAUGGAUCAUGUGGUCACUUAGAUGAUUAGAGGGAUGUCUAUCUAAGUGGGAGUUCUUAAGUAAUAUGAUUAAUUAAACUUUAAUUUAUCAUGAACUUAGUCCUGGUAGUUUUUGCAUAUCUAUGUUGUAGAUCAAUAGCUCGCGUAUAGCUCCCAUGUUUUAUUUUUGAUAUGUUCCUAGAGAAAAAUAAGUUGAAAGAUGAUAGUAGCAAUGAUGCGGACUGGGUCUAUGAUCUGAGGAUUAUCCUCAUUGCUGCACAGAAUAAUUAUGUCCUUGAUGCACCGCUAGGUGACAGACCUAUUGCAGGAGGAGAUGCAGAUGUUAUGAACGUUUGGCAAGCUCGGUAUGACUACUUGAUAGUUUAGUGCGCCAUGCUUUACGGCUUAGAACCAGGACUUCAAAAACAUUUUGAACACCAUGGAGCAUAUGAGAUGUUCCAAGAGCUGAAAUUGGUAUUUCAGACUCAUGCCCGUGUUAAGAGGUAUAAGACCUCUGACAAGUACUUUGCCUACAAGAUGGAGGAGAAUAGCUCAACCAGUGAGCAUGUGCUCAGAAUGUCUGAGUACUACAAUCGCUUGAAUCAAGUGGGAGUUAAUCUUCUAGAUAAGAUAGUGAUUGACAGAGUUCUCUAGUCACUAUCACCAAGUUACUGGAACUUCGUGAUGAACUAUAAUAUGCAAGGGAUGACGGAAAUAAUUCCCAAGCUCUUCGUGAUGUUGAAAUCGAUGAAGGUAGAAUUCAAGAAAGAGCAUCAGGUGUUGAUGGUUAACAAGACCACUAGUUUCAAGAAAAGGGGGCAAAGAAAAAGAAAGGGAACUUCAAAGAAUGGCAAGCAAGUUGCUACUCCCGUGAAGAAACCCAAAGCUAGACCUAAGCAUGAAGGAGUGCUUCUACUGCAAAGGAAAUGGUCACUGGAAGCGGAACUGCCCCAAGUAUUUGGCGGAUAACAAGGAUGGCAAAGUGAACAAAAGUAUAUAUGAUAUACAUGUUAUUUAUGUGUACUUUACUAGUGUUCAUGGUAGCCCUUGGGUAUUUGAUACUGGUUCAGUUGCUAUGAUUAGUAACUUGAAACAGGAGUUACAAAAUGAACAGAGACUAGUUGAGGGCGAGGUGAUGAUGUGUGUUGGAAGUAAUUCCAAGGUUGAUAAGAUCACCAUCGCACACUCCCUUUACCUUCGGGAUUAGUUUUAAACCUAAAAUAAAUGUUAUUUGGUGUUUGCAUUGAGCAUAAUAUGAUUGGAUCAUGUUUAUUGCAAUACGGUUAUUCAUUUAAGUCAAAGAAUAAUUGUUAUUCUGUUUACAUGAAUAAAACCUUCUGUGGUCAUAUACCCAAGGUGAAUGGUUUAUUGAAUCUCGAUCGUAGUAAUACACAUAUUCAUAAUAUUGAUGCCAAAAUAUGCAAAGUUGAUAAUGAUAGUGCAACAUACUAGUGGCACUGCCGUUUAGGUCAUAUUGGUGUAAAGCGCAUGAAGAAACUCCAUGCGGAUGGACUUUUGGAAUCACUUGAUUAUGAAUCAUUUGAUGCUUGCGAACCAUGACUCAUGGGCAAGAUGACUAAGACUCCGUUCUCCGGAACAAUGGAGCGAACCACUGACUUAUUGGAAAUAAUACAUAGUAAUGUAUGCGGUCCGAUGAGUGUUGAGGCUCACGGCGGGUAUCGUUAUUUUCUGACCUUCACAGAUGAUUUAAGUAGAUGUGGGUAUAUCUACUUAAUAAAACACAAGUCUGAAACAUUUGAAAAGUUCAAAGAAAUUCAGAGUGAAGUUAAGAAUCAUCAUAACAAGAAAAUAAAGUUUCUACGAUCUGAUCGCGGAGGCAAAUAUUUGAGUUACGAGUUUGGCCUUCAUUUAAAAACAAUGUGGAAUAAGUUUCACAACUCAUGCCACCUGGAACACCACGGAGUAAUGGUGUGUCCGAACGUCGUAACAGUACUUUAUUAGAUAUGGUACGAUCUAUGAUGUCUCUUGCCGAUUUACCACUAUCGUUUUGGGGUUAUGCAUUAGAGACAACUGCAUUCACGUUAAAUAGGGCACCGUCUAAAAAUCCGUUGAGACGACACCAUAUGAGCUAUGUUUUAGCAAGAAACCUAAGCUGUCGUUUCUUAAAGUUUGGGGUUGUGAUGCUUAUGUGAAAAAGUUAUAGCUUGAUAACCUCAAACCCAAAUCGGAGAAGUGUGUCUUCAUAGGAUACCCAAAAGAAACUGUUGGGUACACCUUCUAUCACAGAUCCGAAGGGAAGAUCUUUGUUGCUAAGAGUGGAUCCUUUCUAGAGAAGGAGUUUCUCUCGAAAGAAGUGAGUGGGAGGAAAGUAGAACUUGAUGAGGUAAUUGUACCUUCUCUCGAAUUGGAAAGUAGCUCAUCACUGAAAUCAGUUCCAGUGAUGCCUACACCAAUUAGUGAGGAAGUUAAUGAUGAUGAUCAUGAAACUUCAAAUCAAGUUACUACCGAACCUCGUAGGUCAACCAGAGUGUGUUCCGCACCAGAGUGGUACGGUAAUCCUGUUUUGGAAGUCAUGUUACUAGACCAUGACGAACCUACAAACUAUGAGGAAGCGAUGAUGAGCCCAGAUUCCACGAAAUGGCUUAAAGCCAUGAAAUCUGAGAUGGGAUCCAUAUAUGAGAACAAAGUAUGGACUUCGAUUAACUUGCCUGAUGAUCGGUGAGCCAUUCAGAAUAAAUGGAUCUUCAAGAAGAAGACCGACGCUGAUAGUAGUGUUACUAUCUACAAAGCUUGAAUUGUCGCAAAAGGUUUUCGACAAGUUCAAGGUGUUGACUACGAUGAGAUUUUCUCACUCGUAUCGAUGCUUAAAAGUCUGUCCGAAUCAUCUUAGCAGUUGCCGCAUUUUAUGAAAUCUAGCAAAUGGAUAUCAAAACUACAUUCCUUGUUGGAUUUAUUAAAGAAUAGUUGUAUAUGAUGCAACCAUAAGGUUUUGUCAAUCCUAAAGGUGCUAACAAAGUGUGCAAGCUCCAGCAAUCCAUCUAUGGACUGGUGCAAGCAUCUCAGAGUUGGAAUAUACGCUUUGAUGAGUUGAUCAAAGCAUAUGAUUUUAUACAGACUUGCGGUGAAGCCUGUAUUUACAAGAGAGUGGGAGCACUACAGCCUUUCUGAUAAGUAUAUGUGAAUGACAUAUUUUUGAUCGAAAAUGAUGUAGAAUUUUUCUGGAAAUCAUAAAGGAGUGUUUGAAAGGAGUUUUUCAAAGAAAGACCUCGGUGAAGCCACUUACAUAUUGAGCAUCAAGAUCUAUAGAGAUAGAUCAAGACGCUUGACAUAUUUUUCAAUGAGUACAUACCUUGACAAGAUUUUGAGAAAAAAAGUCCAUUUUACUCCCUUAAAUAAAAUGGGUGGUUCGCAUAACCCCCUGAAUUUUUUUUCGGUUCAGUUAACCCCCUAAUCUAUCCCAAACCGUUCAAAAAUCAUCUCUAGCUGGUUUUUUGAGCUCAUUUGCUGACAUGGACAUAGUCAAGGCGGUAUUUGACCAGUGGGGUGUGGGGCCCAUUCGUCAAUUGAAUCCCCACUCUCCUCCUCGACGCCUAGAGAGCAUAAUCUACGCUUGGUUUAUGCCGCCGGCGUUGUAGUUCUUAGCCCGCGUGGCCAACACCUCCCCCUCCCCUUCAAUCCAUGUCCUAGAGCUUCCCCUCGCUCUGCUAUACGUUCCUGCCAAAGGACUUUAUCCUAGUCACCCUAAAUCACCGGCGACUAUGUCUUCUUCCCCGCCUCUGGCAUUGACUGUCGCCGCCUCGAUCUCUUCCUUCGGUGAGCCCCGCUUCUCCUUCUCUGCUUCCUAAGCACCGUGGUGCUCCUCUGAAGCUGAUCGACCCAUCAAUUUGGAGCUGCGCAUCCCUGAGGAGCUCUCCCCGCAUGGCCAAGCUCCAGCCCCCGCUGCUGCUAUGGGUGGCGCACUGCGCGAGUAGGCUACAUAGAUGAGGGAGGGAACGGAGAGGCUCCGGAGGAGCAGGGGCUCACCUAGGGGGUGCUGGCACAGGAAGGGGGACUAGAAGUGCUCUGCAGGGACGCCAUGGACGCCGAAGGCGGCGACCGGGGCGCAGGCUUGCGGGGAAGGGGUCGCGGGCCUCACCGGGAACCUGUCCAGAAGGUGCGUGAGGUCGUCUCGCGUCAACGAAGGGGUCAUGGAGAUCGGGGGCGCGCUGGUGAUGGCAGAUUUUAGCGUGGUGGCUGGCGGCAGUGGUGAGGUAGAUGACAAUGCCAGGCUCGAUUGGGGUUGGCUUGGCACAAUGGAUUUGGCAGAGUUGAAGAGGGUAACGAGGCAGAUGAUCCCGACAUUUUGGUGUGGCUCUAUGCUUCCUCCGGCCACGUGCAUGGCGAUGGUGGCCAUCGACCGAAGCUCGGGCACUCUCGGGGUGGCUGCAGAUGUGGGAGAGAAGGCAGAGGAGGGCCCCACUAGUCAACAACGCUUUGACCUCGUCCAUGUCAGCAAAACCACCGGUGCAAACCCACCAAUGAUGAUUUUUGAACGGUUUGGGAUAGAUUAGGGGGUUAAGUGAACCAAAAUAAUGUUCAGGGGGUUAUGUGAACCACUCAUUUUCUUCAAGGGAGUAAAAUGGACUUUUUUCAGAUUUUGAAGUAGUUCAAAAUGGAACAGUCAAAGGAGUUCUUGCCUAUGUUGCAAGGUGUGAACUUGAGUAAAGACUCAAAACCCGACCAUGGCAGAAAAUAGAAAGAGAAUGAAAAGUCAUUCCCUAUGCCUCAGCCAUAGGUUCUAUAAAGUAUGCUAUGUUGUGUACCAGACCUAUUGUGUACCUCACCAAGAGUUUGGCAAGAGGGUACAAUAGUGAUCCAGGAGUGGAUCAUUGGACAUCGGUCAAAAUUAUCCUUAGUGGAAUAAGGAUAUGUUUCUCGGUUAUGGAGGUGACAAAAAGAUUCGUCGUAAAGAGUUACGUCGAUGCAAGUUUUGACACCGAUCUGGAUAACUCUGAGUCUCAAUCUGGAUACAUAUUGAAAGUAGGAGCAAUUAGCUAGAGUAGCUCCGUGCAGAGCAUUGUAGACAUAGAAAAAUUUGCAAAAUACAUACGGCUCUGAAGGUGGCAGACUCGUUGACUAAAUUUCUCUCACAAGCAAAACAUGAUCACUCUUUGGGUGUUAAUCACAUAGCGAUGUGAACUAGAUUAUUGACUCUAGUAAACCCUUUGGAUAUUAGUCACAUGGAGAUGUGAACUAAUCACAUAAAGAUGUGAACUAUUGGUGUUGAAUCACAUGGCGAUGUGAACUAGAUUAUUGACUCUAGUGCAAGUGGGAGACUGAAGGAAUUAUGCCCUAGAGGCAAUAAUAAAGUUGUUGUUUAUAUUUCCUUAUAUCAUGAUAAUUUUUUAUUAUUCAUGCUAGAAUUGUAUUAACCGGAAACUUAGUACAUGUGUGAAUACAUAGAAAAAACAUAGUGUCCCUAGUAUGCCUCUACUUGACUAGCUCGUUAAUCAAAGAUGGUUAUGUUUCCUGACCAUAGACAUGUGUUGUCAUUUGAUGAAUGGGAUCACAUCAUUAGAGAAUGAUGUGAUGGACAAGACCCAUCCGUUAGCUUAGCAUAAUGAUCGUUUAGUUUAUUGCUAUUGCUUUCUUCAUGACUUAUACAUGUUCCUAUGACUAUGAGAUAUGCAACUCCAGAAUACCGGAGGAACACCUUGUGUCCUAUCAAACGUCACAACGUAACUGGGUGAUUAUAAAGAUGCUCUACAGGUGUCUCUGAUGGUGUUUGUUGAGUUGGCAUAGAUCGAGAUUAGGAUUUGUCACUCUGAUUGUCGAAGAGGUAUGUCUGAGCCCUCUCGGUAAUGCACAUCACUAUAAGCCUUGCAAGCAAUGUGACUAAUGAGUUAGUUGCAGGAAGAUGCAUUACGGAACGAGUAAAGAGACUUGCCGGUAACGAGAUUGAACUAGGUAUGAUGAUACCGACGAUCGAAUCUCGGGCAAGUAACAUGCCGAUGACAAAGGAAACAACGUAUGUUGUUAUGCGGUUUGACCGAUGAAGAUCUUUGUAGAAUAUGUAGGAACCAAUAUGAGCAUCCAGGUUCCGCUACUGGUUAUUGACCGGAGAUGUGUCUCGGUCAUGUCUACAUAGUUCUCGAACCCGUAGGGUCCGCACGCUUAACCUUUGAUGACGAUUUGUAUUAUGAGUUAUGUGAUUUGAUGACCAAAGUUUGUUCGGAGUCCCGGAUGAGAUCACGGACAUGACGAGGAGUCUCGAAAUGGUCGAGACGUAAAGAUCGAUAUAUUGGAAGGCUAUAUUCGGACAUCGGAAAGGUUCCUAGUGUUCAGGUAUUUUUCGGAGUACCGGAGAGUUACGGGAAUUCGCCGAGGGAAGUAGUGGGCCUUAAUGGGCCAUACGGGAAAGGAAAGAAGGACCUCAAGGGUUGGCCGCGUGCCCUCCCAUGGCAAGUCCGAAUUGGACAAGGGAGGGGGCGGCGCCCCCUCUCUUUCCUUCUCCCUCUCCUACUCCUUCCCCUUCUCCCCUCUUGAAAAAGGAAGGGGCCUCCAACUAGGAUUGGGAAUCAUAGUUGGACUCCCCCUAUAGGCGCGCCCCUCCUAGGCCGGCCUCCUCUUUCCCCCUCUCAUUUAUAUACGUGGGUAGGGGGCAUCCCAAAGGCACUCCAAGAUUUGUCUUAGCCGUGUGCGGUGCCCUCCUUCAUAGUUUUCCACCUCGGUCAUAUUGUCGUAGUGCUUAAGCGAUGCCCUGCGUCGGUAACUUCAUCAUCACCGUCAUCACGCCGUCGUGCUGAUGAAACUCUCCCUCGGCCUCAGCUGGAUCUAGAGUUCGAGGGACGUCACCGAGCUGAACGUGUGCAGAUCGCGGAGGUGUCGUGCGUUCGGUACUUGAUCGGUUGGAUCGCGAAGACGUUCGACUACAUCAACCACGUUACUUAACGCUUCCGCUUUCGGUCUAUGAGGGUACGUAGACAUACUCUCCCUUUUUAUUGCUAUACAUCUCCUAGAUAGAUCUUGCAUGUUCGUAGGAAAAUUUUAAAAUACUGCGUUCCCAACAGCAAGUAGCAAGGAGAACAGUCAUGGGAGGCUCUCUUUAUUCUCCUAGUGCACCCCUGGCCACCUAUAUAGAUGGCUGCAAGGCUUGGGUCGACCAACCCUUGGAGGAGUCCCUCCUCCUUGCGUCAAACAGCCCUAGUACAACUAGGACUCCCUUCCGUUGAUGUUGUUACUACUGUUAAUGUCACUGAGAACAGACUUCUCCUCUACACCAUUGCACCUACAAUGCAAGAGUUCUAGGAAAAGAAGAAGAAGAAGGUACUUGAAGAAUGUACAACCAAGAAGAACAAAGUGAGGGCUAAGUCCUAACACAACAGAUCACGAGCUAGGUCUCAUCUUACUCUCCGCCCCCACGUCGCCCACCCUGGCGACACGGGGGAAACCGCACCCACCGCCGCCGGUCAAACCCCCCUCCACCCGCCGCCGCCACGCCGCCGCCGGAGGGCCGGCCGGCAAAGCCGCGCCGCGCGCCGAGAUGGCGGCGGCNNNNNNNNNNNNNNNNNNNNNNNNNNNNNNNNNNNNNNNNNNNNNNNNNNNNNNNNNNNNNNNNNNNNNNNNNNNNNNNNNNNNNNNNNNNNNNNNNNNNNNNNNNNNNNNNNNNCGACGAUGGCCGCUGUGUGCCAGCCUUGGCCACAGGGUGCCGUCCCCAGCAGUUCUCCCCCCCCCCUCUGUGUGUGGCCCAGCCCUGCUGGUGGUGCUGCCCUUGGACUGGGCACAGGAUCUGUGGCCGGUCGCAUGGGUGUCCGCGGCAUGCCUUCCUGCUGGCGGGCCCCUCGCCGCCGGCGGCUCGUCCUCUCCCUUGAGCCAUGGAGACGGCUUUUACGGUGGCAACGAGUAUACAGUGCUAGUGGUGGUCUUGAAGCCCUCAAGGCGGGUGUUUGCUGGCGCUGCUCCGGCCCCGACGACCUUGGACCCGCGUCCCUUUCGGUGUCCAUGGCUGCCGGCGUCCUCUGCCGGGCGGCUCCGGCCUCGGCGACCUAGCAGCUGCGUUCCUUCCAGCUUGCCUAGUCCCCCAUGUCCCGACGACUAUGGCCAUGGUAGCCAGGAUCUGCGUCCCUCCAGUCCUUGCUUGUCGGUGUUGCCGAUCGCCGUCGCCCCACCCCCUUGUGGCUUGCUUCAUGCCCGCCCUACCUUGUAUGCCUAAAAGCCCCCGCUUUUGCCAGAUCCAAUGUUCGUGGCUUCGGAGGCGGUGCCACCCUUCGACAGCAGUUGCAGCCCCGCCAACCCCCUUCCGACAUGGUGAUUCCGACCGGCGUUGGCAUCCUCAUCUUUGUUUCCAGAGACGGUGGCUAUGGGAUUGCUCAGCCUCAGGCCAGGGAGAAAUCCCUGCUCGGCUUGCCGAUGCUGGCAGCGGUGGCGUCUGCGAACGUCGUUUUCCUUCUUGGAGGCGUUGUUAAGGCCCUCGGCUGCGCCCCUCUUCGAGCUCAGGGGAAACCCUAGGUCCGGUUCCUCCGGAUCAGAUGGUGACGGCGUCUCGACGUCGUCCUCCUUCUUGAAGGCGCCAUCUUGCUCGCUCGAGGUGUCCCCGGUUUUGGUUCCCGAGAUGUUGAUGGUCGAGUUGGUUUGACGUUGCCACUCUUGGUUCAGGUUUGGUAGGUUUAGCUGUGUUGUAUCCUCUCUUCGGGUCAAGCAUCACUUUUCUUUCUGCUCCGGUCACCAUGUUCACGCCUCCUGCGUUUGUGUCAUGUGUUGUACUCCUAUCUAUACUCAUUCUAUUUUCUUCUAUCAAUGCAAUGAUACGCAAGCUUUGCGUAUUCGAGAAAAAAAAGAACAAAGUGAAUGGGCUUUCCACAACAUUACUGCUUUACUACAAGCUUAUUGCACCAUCUGUUUAUCGAAAUAUAUGUACCCUCAAAACCAGUCCCACGGAAAUAGGUAUAUUGCUUUCCAUUUACGAUCCAUUAUAGAUAUUUCCGGAGGGAUAUACGAGAGGAAAUAGAUGAUAGACACAAACAAGUUCCCAAAUCCUGGAGCGGGACAAUGGGCGUGCCCCGGCCCUGCAUGUCACAAACUCCUGCCUACAUAAAGCUCCUAGUUCAGGCAUCAGCACUCAUAGUUGUGAUUCAGACUUGGGUCAUGUUGCAAUUCAAAGCAGAGAGGAGAUUAAUCUCCCCGGGGUGGUGAGUCGCUUAAGUGGUGGAAAAAUCAGCAUUGCAUUUCACCGCUUCUGAGAUCACGUGGUGAAGGCUAAAAUAUUUCUCGGUGUUUUUUUUUCCUGAACUUUUCAAUGUUGUAUUGGUCCUCUAAUACUAAGAUGAGGUAUAUAUAGAGUACAAGUGUGAGAGAAAGACACUUGGGGUAGAGGCAAGUCAUAGAUAAUUUUAUACUUACUCAGUUCGAUUGAUUUUAUGUUCUUCAUCGCUUCCUACCUUUUCUCCUUCCUCUACCCCACGCAUCUCGUGCGGAGGCAUUGUGUUUAUCGCGGCAAUUCAUACCUGCACUUUGCGCCCUCGGGAUUAAGAAGACAAAGUAAAGCGUCUUGAAUUGUUCGUUACUGCUGAUUACUGAAAAGUAUUACUCCCUUUAAUUCAAAUUAAUUGACAAGAUUUGGUACACCAUUAGUACAAAGUUGUACUAAAGCCCCAUCAAUUAAUUUGGAUCAGAGGGAGUACCUCUGUUAGGAACAGAGGGUGUACUUUGUAGUAUUAGGUUGGACAUAGCGCACUCUGAUGAAUUGGAUAUGUAAAUAAGUAUAGUUCUAGAUGGAUUUGAUAUGUAAAUAAGUAUAGUUCUAGAUGGAUUUGAUAUGUAUUUCCAUACAAACUUCAAAAUACUAAUCCUGCCAGAGACAUCCUGAAUUACAAUAGCUUUGAUAGUUACCAUCCACAUAGUCCAGAUCUAUUCCUUCUUCGCAACAUUCACGACACAAUUACGCAAACUCGACAUAAGGUUCAGACAAAGAGAAACAGAAGCGAACCAAAUAAUUACUCCGCGGUCUUCUUAGUCACCUCGACAAACCAGACACGAAUCGGGGAAAAAUGGGCGUUUUCACCGCAGCUCAGGUGGCAAAACAUCCAGUAAAACCCCAGUUUACUUCUUCGCCUUGCUCACGAGUCUCUGCCCCCCACGGUUUUGCCAAGCACCCUUCACAGGCCACCUCGGCUCCUGCAAAGGUCCAUCGGCUGCUCCACACCCUUCUCUCAACGGCGCUCUAGAGCCUCCCACCUGCGACUGAAGCUUGCUGGCAGCACUCAGGAGCUUAUCUUCUAACAAAUCCUGUGCAGCAGCAGGAAGUUUCCCCUUCCCCUUAUUUUUCCGGGUGCUUUCUUUCGAGCAAACAGCUCCACCGCCACCGUUUCCUUGGAGGCUUGUAAGGCGCAAAUUCGCGUAGUAGGCAUCAGCAAGCUCCUUCUGCUUUUGAGGAUCAGGCAGCAACCUGGACAUUUCAAGAACGAGGUGCGACAGACCAAAUUGUUCGACAUAUGAAAGGUACUUUGAAGCAUUGAUAACGCCUUGACGGUACUCCCCAGAGAUCUCUUUGAACAUCGAGUACCUGUCCCGGUCCAUUCCUAAUGCAGCCUGCAUUCUUUCAACCAAUGAAUUAUUCGCUGCACGAACAUCAUCCACAGAGCACAACACCUGGCGGCUCACAGGUGUUUCUUGCCUUCCAUUUCCUGCAGAAGUCAGACUCAGCGAUCCACUAACGUGAGGACUUGUGUUGGGUGUAGGCCAACUUGGGGAGUGACUUGAACCAGAAGGGAUCAAAUCAGUAUUUUUAAGGGACCAAUGCUGAGCAGAAUGGUGUGUAUUCACAAUUCCGUUGCUUUGUUGUCGGAGCCCAAAUGCAUGAGUGUUCUCAGCUACCUUUCGUACCCCCUGCUCUGUUGACGCAGCAGUUCUGUUAUUACUGCCUGAUAAAGGAGGGAAUUCCAAAUCCAUUGCGCGUGCAGCAGUCCGUGAGCUCCGACUGGCAAAUGGUGUAUACCCUGAUUGCCCUGAUAUGGGAGGGGAUGGAGCUUCUUGAAAACAGGAACCUAUUCUUGCAUCAGGAACCUCCUGGCGGGAGAGGGGAGGAAAGUGUGGUUGCUGCCAAACACGGUUCAUCCCAGAGCUUUGGCCUGCUUGUGAUGAGUGCCCAGAACUAGAUCGCAAGGGAGACACAACAGCAGCAACUUGAUUUCCUGAGCCACGGCCCAUAUUUGCAAUGCCAUUCUGAACAGACAGCAAGGUAUUGUCAACAGAACCAUUGGGGAGGCAAGCGUUGUGCCUUCUACCUCUGCCAUUACUCUGCUCUAGCUCGCUCCGGUCUCUAGAACUGGUUGGUGUCUGUCAAUGAAGGGCAAAGUAAAAUAGAUCAGCUUACCGCGCCAUUUUUAUUAUCAAUAUGUAUAUGCUAGCAUGUCAAUAGUUGGCUUAACACAAGAGAUGGAAAUAAGGCAGAUUCGUUUGUACACCUGGAGAGCAGAAUUCUUCUGUGCAUGAGGCAUGCGCUUCCUAUGCUCCACAGCAUUGUGCCUCU
rnacentral:lncRNA from 1 species